rnacentral:lncRNA from 1 species
AAGAUAGAGCUAUUGUUUUAUUCUUUCGAUCCCUAAGGAUUCAAAUUCCAAAAAUAUAACUAGCUUUAACCAAGUCCUUCAUGCUAAACUGUUGAACAAACAACAGUUUAACUAAUGACAAUUCUCCUACAUUAUUUUCGAUAAGUAGAAUAUUAUCAACAUACAAAAUAAAGAAGGCCACUUUUUUGUCCUUUAUAUGCUUAUAAACACAAGGUUCAUCAGUGUUUUACUCAAAUUCAAAAGUUUUGAUCGUUUGAUCAAAUCUUUUAUUCCAUGAGCGGGACACUUGCUUAAGUCCAUAAAUGGAUCUUAGCAGUUUGCAAACUCUCUGCUCCUUUCCUUUGACAACAUAGCCAGUGGGUUGAGCUAUCUAAAUGGUCUUAUCAAGAUAGUCAUUCAAUAAUGUUAUCUUAACAUCCAUUUUCUAGAUAUCAUAAUCGAGUUCAACGGCUAUGGAUAAGAGUAUGCAGAUAGACUUGAGCAUGGCUACUGGAGAAUAGGUUUCAUCGUAAUGAAUGCAUUCUUUCUAUUUGUAGUCUUUCCCUACAACUCUAAUUUUGUGUGUUUCCACUUUCCCUUCCGCAUUUCUCAGCAUCCAUGUCUUAUUUCUAGAGCUUGGAAUCAACGUCCUGCAUAGUCUCAUUGUAAGUAUGUGGAUCAUCAUCUUCAUGAUUGGCUUCCGUAUUAUAAAUAUUACCAUCAUAGAUAAAGAAGUAUGGUUUCUUAGAAACUCUCCCACUACGACAGGUUCCUCUAUGUUGUUGAUCGUUUCCAGGUUUUCUUACAACUUUCUUGAGAACUGAACUUGGUGAUUGUUCUACUACUCUUGAAAGUUUCUCAAGUACGACUUUACUUCGAGGCUUAAAGUUAUCCAUGUAGCUUUCCUCGAUAAAAGUAGUAUGAGUAGAAACUUUAAUUGUAUUAUCUUUUGGAUUGUAGAAUAAUCCUCCCUUUAUUCUUUUUAGAUAUACUACAAACAUGCACAAUUCUAUCCGUGCAUCCAACUUCUUUGCAUUCUUAUCUAGAACGUGUGCUGGACAACCCCAUAUUCUAAAUUGAUUUAGAGUGAGUUUCUUUCCAUGCCACAGUUCAUAAGGUGUCUUACAAGAAGACUUGGUUGACACAUCAUUUAAAAUAUAGAAAGCCGUUUGUAUCACAUAUUACUAUAAGGAAAUAGGACGUUGUGAAUAGCUUAACAUUAAACAAACCAUGUCAAGCAAUGUUCUAUUCCUUCUCUUAGCUACGCCAUUCUAGUAUGGAGUGCCCGGCGCAUUCAAUUGGGAUAAAAUCUCAUUCUCUAUGAGGUAACCUAAGAACUCGUCGGACAAGUAUUCUUUACCUCAGCCAGACCGAAGAUUAUUUAUGGAUAAACCUAAUUGUUUUUUCACUUUCGUACGAAACUUUCAAAAUUUAUCAAAGGUUUCACUUUUGCGGUGCAUUAGAUACACAUAUCUAUAUCAAGAAUAGUCGUCGAUAAAAUUCACGUAAUAACCGUAACUUCCUUAGGCACUAAUGCUCAUGGGACCACAUACAUCAGUGUGUACAAGUUCUAAAGGUUGGUUGGCCCUUGUACCUUUCUCAUUAAAAGACCUCUUAGUCAUUUUACCUUCCAAGCAAGAUCCGUAUUGUGGAAGACUAACUUCCUUAAGCAUACUUAAGAGGCCAUCUUUCACGAGUCUAGUAAUUCUUUCUUGGUUAAUAUGACCAAGUCUUAAGUGCCAUAAGUACCCCUCAUUAGAGUGAGAAGUUUUAAGCUUUUUAUUCAUUAUUUAAGUUUGAAGCAUUGAGUAGUUAUUAGGUUUGAUAAAGUAGAGAUAGUUUUCCAUCCAUCAAUUUGAGAUUAAAAAUUGAUUUUCGUGAAUAGCAAUCCCUUUAUUGAAUGUCACAGUAUAACCGUCAUAAAAUAAACAUGCUAAAGAAAUUAAAUUCCUCUUAAAAUGAGAUACAUAAAACACAUUCUUUAAAAUAAUCUUCCUAAAACUAUCAAAGUGUAAAAUAACCUCUCCCAUUGCUUCGAUUGAAACAUAGAUCCCAUCUCCGGUUCACAACGAGAGGCUCCUGUCAUACAAACUUCUUGUUUCACUAAACUCCUGUAAAGAAACACAUACAUGGUUAGUGGCUUCAAAAUCAAUAAACCAGUUUUCAAUUGAUUCUUCCACUAAGCAAGCUUCAACCACAAAGAGUUACAUACCUUUUCCCUUUCAGCUAGGUAAUCUAUUGUAGUUUGAUUUGAAAUGCCCUUUUUGGUUGUACAAGAAACAUUUGAUCUUUUUAGGAUCUUUUCACUUCUUAGCCUUCUUCCUAUCCACAUGAGGUGGAACUAAAGACUUAGUUAGUUUCUUCUUUCCCUUAGCUUUUUGUUUCCCCUUAAAAGACGAGGGGCCUACAACUAAGUUUGCCUCAGGUUUUUCCUGAACCGACUUACUACCAUUCAGUAUCAACUCAUAGGAUUGUAAUUCCUUCAUGAGUUGAGUCAAGGUAAGCGCAUUGUUCCCCAACUUGUAAGCGGCCCUAAAACCAGCAAACUCCUUAAUUAGGAUUUGAACACUAUUUCAAUUUGCGUGUUCAUGUAUAGUUCAACCCCAUUAUCAUGCACUUCUACAAAGAAUCCCAUAAGCUUAAGCAUAAGUUGUUUGACUGGAGUGCCAGUUUUCUGUUAAGAAUUCAUAAAAUUUGUAAUAGCAGAUUGUCGAGCCAAUACGACUUGGCCUCCGAGCAAAUCUUUCAAAUUUUUCAUGAUCUCUUUGAUAGUACGAAAAUUCUCAUGUUGCUUUUGCAACACACUACUCAUGCUCACUAACAUAUAGCAUCGAGCAAUCGAGUCAGAAUCUCUCCAGUGAUUUCUCGCUUUGGGCUGAGCUUCAGGAGGGCAUGUUUCGUUAAGACCAAAUUUUUGUUUCUCACAACUGAGAUUAUCAGCAAGUUCUGUUUACAUUCUCGAAAGUUAUCCCCAUUUAAUUUAUUCUCAGUAAGAAUUCUAAUAAGAAAAGUAGGAGAAAUAUUUAAACUGAAAAAAAAUAAAGAUUUCAUUAAUUACUAUUUUUGUAUUAAACAAAUAUUUUCCAUUUUAGCAACAUAUUAGGAAUGCAGUAUGAUGCAAGCAUCUUGUAUUAAAACCUUGAAAAAAUAUAUAUUUUUUUGUUGUUACGAUCAUUCUCACCCCCACCAACCAUGUCACCUUGGGGUCCCAUGAUUAACUAGCAAAAACAUAGACUAUAUCCAAUCAGUUCAUGAAUCUUAAUUCUCAAGACUCCACACAAACUAACGAUUGUUUAACGUUUGACCAUCAUCUCUAGCUUAAAUAUCAUUUCUUGGGAAACUAUUUACUAAGAGAUGAUCUUAAGUGUUUAACCAUUGACUCAACACCCAUCAUGAACAUGCUCUCAUUUAUGAGUCAUCUUGGGACAAUCUCUCUGAAAGUCAUGCAUGACUAGUUGUCCUUAAAAGAAAAUCUCAUCUAGUGAACCCACAUGAUAAAGUUUACACUGGGGUAUGGCCAGGGUAGGAACCGGCUCAAAACUUUAUCAUGCUAUCACUUAGGGGCCAUCAAUGGAGGCCGUAGGUCUUGUUCAAAGAUCUUCUCCCACUCAAUAUUUUAAAAAAAUGCAAGGUUUUUUAUCCCAAAUUUCAAGAAUUAUCAUACAAUAGUCCUAAUGGCAUUCUUAUCUAAUCUAAAUGACAUGCUUCCAAUAUAUGCAUGGCAUGUUAUGUAAAUUUUAUAAUAUCCAUUCACAAGAAUUAAUCAAUGAUAAAAACAAACAUUUUGAUUUUCCAUAGUUUUUCUUUUAAGGGAAAAAAACUGAAGAAGUGAAUGAAAACGGUGCACCAGGUAGGGUCCUAGGAAAGGAGAAGAGUCAAGUUUGACCGCUUAAAACCCAAGUCUUUUCUAGCUAGAGCCAAUACUAGACAUGCACAUUAUCAUUACCACACUUCUUACAGUUAUCGAAUAACCUAAAAAAGUGAAUAACACACAUAUUUUCUCAUUACCACACUUCUUAUUUUUUAUUCGAUCAACUGUGGAUCAUCUCAUAUAUAUAUCACAAUUAUAACAUUACAUAAUAUUAUAAAAAAUUAUAAAAGAGAUAUAUAACGAGAUAGGUAAUUAAAAUAAAAUUAUCAGUCAAGGUUUCCAUGGUUCUAUUUCUAGAAAAUAAAUGGAAAAAUAAAAUUAAAUAAAUUUUCACCACGAGGUAUUCCUUGGGUCUUCAACCACCAUCGCAUCUUUUCUUCAUCAUUGACUCCUUUUGGAAAAAUUACAUCUAAGUCCUAUGUCAGUUUCCAGUUCACAAGAAUUCUAUGAAUUUUAAAAAAUAUAACCCUGCGUGGAGAUGAUAGUCCACGGUCUAUUUCCGAAGAACGACAACCUCAGCAAAAAAUAAUUAUAUAACAAAUAUAUAAUAUCGCAUCCAUUCCCAUAUACAACUUAAAACAUGCAUAAGAUCUAAAUAAUAUCACUUUCUAUGUAAUCAAAUCAUUCAAAAAGAAGAGAAAUUUAUUUUGAUUAUCUUUUUAUACUUAUAGAUAGAACACAACUUGGCUCAUGAUACCAAUUGUUGGAAAAAAUAAAUAGGUUUGAAAAAUGCAGCAAAAAAUAAAUUUAGGGAAAAACCAGAGUUUUAAUUUUUUUCCAAAUUAAUAUAUUGGUUGUGAUAUCUAAAAUAGUAAAUACUUAAUCAAAAUUGUACCUUUUCAAUUCGUCUAGUAUAAGCGCUUCAACCGAGUAGUUUUCUUCGCUAUCCUCGAGCUCACGUCUGCCGAGUGUGGGCUCGCUUCAAAUUAGAAAAUUUUUCACAAAACUCACUAGUGGGGUAAUUUUACAAUUUCUAUAAACUUUUGGGUCAAAUUGUAAAUCAGAAAACUAUCUCUAGAAAUUUUCUGGAAUAAUCUCUUCAGAAAAUUUUCUCUCUACAACUUUCUCUUGAAUUCAAGUGUGUGCAAAUAAUGACCCAAGGCUCUCUUUAUAUAACGAGAGUUUAGAGAGUUCAACUAUGAUUAAACUUAAUCACUUUAAUAUUAAAUCUAAUAUAAUAUAAAUAUUAAAUUUAAUUUAAUAUUAAAUCUUGUUAAAGUAAUCGAAUGUUUAUCUUGUAGAUAAACAUUAAAUUUAAUUUAAUAUUAAGAUAAUUACUUUCAUAUUAAAUUAAUAAAAUACUAUAAAGAUAAGUAUUAAAUUUAAUUUAAUAUUAAACUAUUAAAAUAAUAUUAUUUUUGUAAUAAUUAAUCUGAAAUCAAAUUCUCUGGUAGAGUCCCAGUGGAAGUGUAACUCUUCUAUUGCUCAACUAUUGACGACCAACUAUUUCCGGCUAUCGGGACACCGCCGUUGCAGCCAUCGGCACCGCCGUGUCUAGUGAUGCAGGUGCAACACCCUUACGACACCUUGAGCUAGUUCGGCUACUGUCGGUUCAGUCCAGAUCAAUGAUAACCCGACCGGUCUGGUUUAGCCACCGGUUGGACUUUCAGCCUGGUUUCACAUACUAGGUCCGGUUCGACCAGUUUUUGGGUCUUAGUCUCAAUUUUGGGCUCCCGGACCCAAUUUACAAUCUCAGGUCCAAUUUUCAAAUUUAAUUACUCAUUGGGCCAAUUGUAUGACUUGAAAAUUAAUUUCUAAAAAUAUCAUAUUAAUUUUAAUUAAUUUAAUUAUACUUGGUCAAAAUUAAUUUUUCAAAAAUCACUUAAAUUUUCCAAAUUGAUUUUUCAAAAAUUUUCUUUAAUCAAAUUCUCUAGUUGAACAAUUCUUACAACCACCUAAUUUAAUUCCAUAUGGAAUAAAUCAACUCAAUUAAAUUAUUCCCAAAGUCGUAGAAUUUUCUUUUGAUUCAAAUGCAGUCCAAUCGAGCUUUUCUUGAGCUAACGGAGGGAUCAAUUGGACAUAUACAAUUAGGCUCUAGUGAUUGCAAUUAUGUCCAAAAGCACCGUUUCAAUAAUUCGCAAUUACUUAAUCAUGGAGUUACUCCAUAAAAAGUACCAUGAUUGAAAAGUCCUUAUUGUGUACUCUUUACGAAAGCAAUUUAUCCAACUUCUUUGUCCAAUGACCUCUUCAUGUGUGUGUUACCCUCAUAUGAUAUCAUUGAUUCCUUUGAGUUAAAUCCAUUCACUCAAUACAAUCUUAUUUCAUCUCAUUGUCACCAUUGUGUCUUCUUAAUUAUUAAUAUAAUCACUGUCUACAAAUGACUAUGAUAAAUUGCUUGUUUGAAAACAAGCAAUUUAUCAUAUAAUCACUGUCUACAAAUGACUAUGAUAAAUUGCUUGUUUGAAAACAAGCAACCCGUGGCCACGUUCCAUAUUUAUCAAUCCACACAAUGCCAAUGAAAGGAUAUCAUUAACUUUUUAAUUGAGCUAUGAAUUCCACUGUUGCUAGUAAAGCCAUGCCAUACACAAGUCAUGUACCCAACAUACCGGCUAUGGUUUUGAUCAUCUUUAGAGCAUAAACCUCCACUUAUAUCAAAGCACAUGAGUUGCAUAUGCAUGGUUAGUGACUAACUCAAGAUUUAGGUAAAUCACACUAUGAAUGUUAGAAGUGAAUUAAUUCACAAAUAGAUUCAGAAUUAAUUCAUCUAUGAUCUAGUCCAAUGUAUCAUCCUACCAAUGAAUACAUUUAUGUCUCUACUCGUGGAGUGAACUGCUCCGAUAACCAAGACCAGUCAUCUCUCCAAUUGGAAUUGUAGACAACAUAAUAAUCCUUCUUAAUAUUUGAAUCAAAUGCUCACUUUGAUUCUUUUACGAGAUUACGAACUCAUUUAGAUUAUCUACUGAAGUAAGUUGUCUUUCUCGUAAUGUAAAUAUUCUUACAAUGUCACUUAUUUUCCAUUUGAACUUAGACAAUCAAUGAGUUAAUAUUUGCAUGUCACAAUUUCGAUAUGCAUGCAAAAUAUACAAGACAGAAUAGUGAAAUGUGAAAUUAACUUUAUUUAUUUAUUUAUUUUUCAAGUAAAUAAAAAAUAGUUACAUGUUUACUACAAUAUGGGCACAUUUCCCAACAAUGUGAUCCACACAGGCUACCACAUAGCCAUGUGUCAGACCAUGUGGAAAUCGUGAACUGCACUCCAAAAACAUGGAAAAAUGAAAUUUUUAUAUUUUUUGAGCAUUCUAAUACCUAUAUAUACCAAAUAUAAGAAGAGAGGAAAGAGUAGUCAGAAAAUAUUUAAGAAAACGACUCGAAAGACACCAUUGACGCUGACUUUGAAGAAAAUUUCCAUCAAGUUGAAGAUCUCAUUUUGAUUUCUUUGAAGUUUAUUAUAAGUUUCUUUAUUUCUUGUGGUUAUAUUGACUUUGAUAUGUUUUUAUUUGCGAUUAUGAACUAAUUUUCCAAAUACCUAGGAAGAUGAACCCUAGGAUGGAUUCUAUUAUUUGAUUUCUAUUUUUAUGCAAUAAAUAUUUGAAUCUUGUUCUCAAUUAUGUGUGCUUAAUUCUUGGUUUGAUAUUUUUAGAUUAUUAAUCCAUAUUUGAUGUGUUUAAAUUAGAGGAGGAAUAGACCCUAUUUAAAAGUAGAUUUAGCGUAAUUGAGUGGAGUUGCAUGCAAUCCUAAAAAUAGGACGACAUAAAUCUAUCGGAUCAGAGUAAAAUCUAAUAGGAGAAUCCAAGGGUUUAGGGUUUAGGUUUAGAUUAAGUUAAUGUGAUAAUAGGGAUUUUAAUUAGAAAGAAAUUUCAAUUAAUCAACCUAGAGUUAGUUGCUCUUAGUCUUGAAGAGAGAUAUUAGCAUAAUUUAGGGAUUUCUAUGGAUCAAGAUACUAAGUGAAGAAAUUGUGUAAUUUAGAUUGAUAAUAACAGAUGAAACUUAGGUGGAUUCUUUCUUGGGUAUUGUCUCGCUUUUUAAUUGUUAAUCAUUUAUUUUCCUGAUUUGUUCUUUGUCGUGUUCUUUAGUUAAUUAAUUUAGUUAAUUUUAGUUUUAAUCAAUCACUCCAAUUUGUUGGUUAAAUAAUAGAAAUAUGGCAAUUACUAGUACUUUUAGUCUUCGUGGGAACAAUAUAUGUGCUCACCAUAGCUAUACUAUUAAUUGAUAGAUGCACUUGUCUUAGGCAGAUUUGUAGUUGGUUUCAUGGACAUCAUAAGUACAUGGUAGAUAUGUGCAUAUAGUUAUACAUGUUUUCUUAGGAUAGAAUUGUUAAUGCAAAUAUUAGGUAUUUGAAUUAUAGAAAUACCAUGGAGUUAAUUACUCAAUGUAUAGUCUUGUUUUCCAUGCGUCUAUUUGAGUUUCCAGAACAUUAAUUUAGCAUCCAAACAAUACUCCAGGACUCAACAAAGUUUAUUUGUUUUCUUUUUCGUUAGUAACUUGGCAUGUACGUAGAUAAUUGAGUCAAGUUGUUUUGAUUCUAAACCUUUGUAACUAUUGAAGUGGGUGUUAAUGCUUAGUUUUGGCUAAAUGAUCAUAUGAUGUGUAUAGUCUUAUAUAUACAUAUAUAUAUUAAUGUGUUCAAAGUGGUAUGAAUAGUUAGUAUGUUGAAUGUUGAUAGAUUAUAGGUAUAUAUAUAUACACAUAAGUAUUUGAAUGUUAUAUGGUUGUUGUAUAAUUUGUAAAGGAUAAGGCAUUUACUUAGUUUAAAUAUGAUAGUUGAUAGGUUUGGUUGGUAUGAAAUAAAGCUUAUGUGUGUAAAUAGGUAUGGUAUAAACAUGAAUUAAUAGGUAUGGUAAAGAUCAUAGUUAAAAUGGUGUAAAUUGUUUGAACUAAUUUAAGUUGCAUUAACAGGUGAAUUGUUUUGGGUGAUUGAAUGAAUUUGAUGGAAUGAAGCAUUAUAAAUAUAUGAUUGAGAAGUAUUAUAAGCAUAUAGGUAUUGUUCAUAUGGUCAAAACAUGAUAGAAUUUUGAUUAUGCAUUGAAUUAUUUGAAAUUACAGGUUUAUAAAUGGAAAAUUGCAAGUUCAGUAGGUGACAUCGUGACAUCACACGAAUGUCAUCGAGACAAGUUUUGGUCUGUGCGACGAUGGAUUUCGUUGCCACAACGAGAAGGCCUUUGGCCAAGUCAGUAUGUCAUGUUGUGACAAGGAACCCCUUCACGUCAUGAUGUCGAUCCUGAAAGUUUUGAAGUUUUUACAUUUCAGUCAUACUUUAAUCUCGAAUUAGUUUUAGAGCUUUCGUAAGCUCAUGAAUGACUCGAGAUUUAUUGUAUAUCAUAUUGAAUGUAAGUUUGUUUAAUUUUAACCAUCAAAUUGUAUAAUAUAAAUUUUGAAUUGAUCGUAGUUGCUCCAGCAAUGAAUGUAACACACUAUAACUGGGACCCGACGAUUGGGUCCAGUUUAGGGUGUUACAUAAUUAGCUAUUAAGAAGUACAUUGUUAAAGCCUUCAUAGAUUUCAACGUAGUUAAUGUAUCUACAACUACAACAUAUGUUGCAUCCUCAAUUAAUUGUGGCAAAGGGUGUAGUUGAUGAACUAGAGCAUCAUUUCUAAAAAAGAAACAACUUUGGGAAAUCACAAAGUAUAACGCUCCUCACAUAUGCACGGUUGCAAGGAUAACUAAAUAUCGUCAUAAUUUGGGAUUCAACUAUUAGAAUUUGUAAAAUAAAUCUGAAAUAAAACUUAAUAAACUAGGAUCUAUCGUACCAGGAUCUAUUAUGUCAAAUCAUCAAGAAUAAAUCAAGAACAAAACUAGAUGUGGAAGCGUACCUAAAUCCAUAAAUUCCUUAAAAUUUUACCGAAUCUUGGGGAUUCUUCCAAAUUAGCAGACAAGAAUUUCAGAGAAUAUCUGCUCUCUCUUUCCUAAUGAUAGGAUAUUAGAAAAGAUAUCUUGUGUAUAAUUUGGGGACCAUAACCCUAAUAUUUAUAACCUUGGUAUAUUAGUUCUAAUCAAAUUCUAAUUAGCCCAUCAUUAAUUAGAAUUUGAUUAGAACUCAAUUACUAGAGUAUCUACAUAUAUUUGACCCAUACUUUAUUUAAUAAUUAAAGCCCAAUAAAAUUUUAACCAAAUUAGAUCACUUUUAAUUUGGGCUAACCUAUCAUGAUAGUAAAUAAUAACAUGUAAUUACCCUUAUGAUAUAUGUGAUGUCCAUAUUUUCCAACAAUCUCCCACUUGGACCACAUAUAUAUACUAAUUACUCUAUAAUUACAUGUCAUUAUAUAACCUUAUGAGCACAAAAUUUUACUAUCAUAUCAAAAAGAUAUUCCGAACAAUCUCGUCCAUUAAUUAUGUUAACAUAGAACCAAGGUGACUUUCGUUACAUAUAUUGUAACUAAAUUCAUCCAUGAUCACGUAUAUUAACACAACUAAAUGACAUAGAUCAAGUAUGGAUUUGUAGCAUGAAAAUUACAUGCAAUAUGAUCUAAACAUGUCUAUUUCCAACUGGCCCUCCUUAGUGAGAUCAAACCUUCCAAAAUCAGAGUGUGAAUAAACCAAAUAAACUUUAUUUUUGCAGUAAAUAAACUUAAUAUCUUUAAAUUGAAAUAAUUGAAAAUGUGUCUAUAACAUAAAAUCAUUUAAAAAUAUAAACUUCCACUAAAACCAAAUAUCCUUUAAAUGACAUUACACCCAUAUGAGCAGUGUGCUCUUAUAAAACCUUAAGUGUAGUUCCUUAAUAAGCAGAUCCGCAAUCAUGGAGUUUGCCCUAAUAUGAUUUAUAAGCACCUAACCACUCUAAACUUUUACUUUAACAACCAUGAACUUAAAUUUUAUGUAUUUUUACUUUGAUGUACUCCUGUUGCUAUUGGAAUAAAAGACAGCAAUUUGUUUUCACAAUUUGCACCUUAGUGAAAAAAUCUUGUAUCCAUAUUCCACCAAAAUCAGAGUCUAUAUACCUGAUGAUCUCUAACUGAUUAGACCUCCGAUAUGUGAGCAUGUAAUAUUUUGUUCUCUGAAAAUACAUUAUAACCCUCUUGGAUGCUAUCCAAUGGUCCAAACCAGGGUUGCUUAAAAUAUCUGCCUAACAUCCCAAUAGUGUACACAAUAUUCCAAUGUAUACAAACCUGAAAAUACAUUAGACUUUCUAUUGCUAAAAUGUAAAAAAUCUAAUGCAUUUGUUGUAAUCUCAAAAUAUUUCUUAAGGCAUUAAUUGAGGCUAUACUUAUUAUUGACAAGCAGUAUGUCAUUAAUAUAUAAAACCAAAUAUAGAACCUUACUCCCACUAAACUUAUGGUAUAUACGAUUAUCAAUAAAAUUCAUCUCUAAAUCGAAUGAGAUAAUCAUUUGGUAAAUUUUGUAAUAUUAUUGGCGAGAAGUCUACUUAAGCCCAUAGAUGAAGCUCUUUAAUUUGCAAAUCAUUACCUUUGCAUCAUCAGAUACAAAGUUUUCUAAUUGCACCAUAUAAAUGAUUGAUUAAUGUUACCAUUGAGAAACCAUUAACUUAAUAUUCAUCUGAUGUAGCUUAAGGUCAAAAUAUUCCAUUAAAGCCAUUAUAACCUUUUUCUCUAGUAGACCUUUUUAAUGGCAUUCAUUCUUGAGGUUGUUGAGUUUAUUCUUCUGGAACAAUACCUUAUCUUAAAUAGAGAAUUGUUCAACAUUGUCUUAUUGAGGUUCUAGAUUCACUUCUUAAUCAAUGAUAGGUAUGAGAACCUAAACAUAGUCAAAAGUGAUAGUAGGAAUUGAGUUAGAAUUUAACUCCUCCUUAAAAGCAAUGUCUUUAACCUUAUUUCUCCCUCCAAACUCAACAUCCUAAAAGAAUGUUGCAAUUCUCAUCUCAAAAAUAUUUCUAAUUGUGGGAUCAUAAAACUCAUAGCCCUUAGAUCGCUUGGUAUACAUCAAAGAAGUUAGAAAUGAUGUCAUUUCAACCUUAUCGUUUUUAGCAAAACUUUCUCAAGUUCGUCAAGGAAACCUUGGCCUGAGCAAUCUUUUCAAAUUUUAUGCCCCUAAAGGCUUCUAAAAUGUUGUGCUUUAUGAUCAUUAGAAUCAUACAAUUUGAACAAUCCCACCUCUCAAAAUCUCUUUUAACAUAAGGGGUGUUUUUCGUAAUGAGAGGUGCAGGUUGUUCUUCCCUUAGUGCAAUGUCUAUAUUCAUACAACCAAACACUAUAAGUAAGUGUCUUUUCCAUUUAUUGAAAUUAGUCCCAUUAAGCAUGGGUAUAGAAUUUAUAUUAGCAGAUAUUGUGGCAGUAGAAUAUGAAUUAGCUUAAUAUAGAACAAAAAAAAAAAAAAGCUCACAUCAAUAUUCAUAAGUAAACAAUAAAUUCAAGAUAAUGGCUAAUCUCAUCUCAAGAUACCAAACACAACAUUAAUAUCAAGUCUUUGGAUAAUAAUAUUAACAGUAAGCGGUACUCUUGUUGUAGCAAUCAAACAUUGACAAUAAAUUAUGUCAAACAAUUAAUUAAUCUUUAGACUAACUUAUUGCUCACAUAAAGUAUCUUAUAAUUGUCACACAUUUAUCACCACAGAUGUCGUUGAACUUCUGCCAAAUAUUAACUUACCUUUGGGUCAAUUAAUAAAUGCAUGAAUCACAAAAACAUAUAAUCAUCUUAAUAAAUACAUGAAUCACAAAAACAUAUAAUCAUCUUGAUAUUUCAAAUAAACUAAUCUAUACAAAAGAGGUCACUUUGGCGGCAUUUUAUUUCAACUAAUCUAUUUAAAAUAUUAGACAUCCUUAAUUAAAACCCAAAACCAAAAUUUGAAUUUCAUUUGUUUCGAAAUAUUUCUUUUAGUUUCAUCUUUCAAUCAAAUUAAAAGAUACUAGUAUAUAUAUGUAUAUAUAGUUAUCCCAAAACAACAUACAGUAAUGUUGGCAAAUAUAAUAAUAGUUAAAUAAAUCAUAAACCAUAAACAACUUCAUAUAAGACUUCAAAUUUAAACCAAAAUAAUUUGAAUAAAGGUAAACCUCAUCUCAAGAUAUCGGACACUCCAUUAAUAUUUUAUAUUUAGACAAAAUAUUAACUUGUAAAUGAUAUAUUGGUGUAAUAAUCAAAUAUUGACAAUAAGAACAUGUCUAACUAUAAAUUUUCUUUUGGACCAAUUUAUUACUUACAUGUAAAACCGAAUAAUUGUCUCAUGUUUAUUACCAUAGUUGCACAUGUUAUAUUAUUAACCUUUAUUUGGGUCGAUCAAUAUUAACAUAACUUAGGUUACAUGCACACAACCUUUUAUAUUUUAAAACAAAAUAAUUUAUACAAAAAAAAUCACUUUGGUGACUUAUUGCUUCAAUUAAGUUAUUUUAAUAUAUAUAUAUAUAUAAACAUACCAAUAUUCAAAUUUAAAAUUUUCUCAAUAGUCAAAUGUCAAAACUAUUUUUUAUUGCUUUAUAGACUCCGAAAUAACUCAAAAUAAGAUUGUGACUAUUUCUUUUUCUUUUUCUUUUUUCAAAACCAUAUAUAUCAAAACCAAACAUAAAUAAAGUAGUGGUUCAAAGCCAAAUAAUUAACAAACACAUGUAUUUAUAAUUUUGGCAUGGAUAAAAACACCAAAGCAAUUUACGCAUAUACAUGUAUUGAUAAUUAAAUAGAAAAACUUACCCUAAAUUUAUCAUGUAAAUUCAAAGUUGUAUUUAUGAUUAAAUAGAUAUUCACAUGAAUACUUGAAAAAUAUUUUCAAGCCAAUAAAUCUCAAAAAAACAAAAUCAUAAUAGUUGGCAUAUCCCACAAUUCCUACAAUAAACCAUAUCAUUAUAAUUUAACCAAAUAUUUGGAACCAUAAGAUGCCAAAACCUAAUAUUAUAGAACCAAACUUAAAACCAAAAUAUUUAAAUAUGAAUAUAGCUUACAUUAAUUUGUACCAAAACACCCAUAAAAUUGAAUACAUAACCAUAAAAAAAUUUAACAACUCCAACGAUAUUCAUCAAAACUUAAUUUCACUAAUUAAACUGUAAAAGAUAUCUUAUUGAAUAAUGAUUAUAAACACCUAUUCACACAAACUAUAAUCAUGCAUUAAUCCUCAAAAUCAUUGAUAUGCAUAUAAUAUAUAUACACACACAUAAUAUAUACACAGAAUUAUAAUAAUAUAAAAAUAAUAUUGGCUUGCCUUACAUAUUUCAUGUAAACUCAAAUUUAUAUUCAUGACUAAAGAUGUUAUCAUAAAACUUCUUUAUACUCACACAUACUUAAAAAAAAUCCAUAACCACUAAAUAUAAAAAGAAUUCCAAAUUAUAUAAAAGUCUUUAUAUGGGCAACUACUUAUGAAAAUUCAUAGCCACCAUAUUUUAAAAAAAAUCCCAAAUAUUUUAAUUAUAGUCAGGUUUCAUAAAGACUAAAACUUAUAUAAAAUAAUUAUAACAGAACCAAAAGUAAUCAUUCGUAUAUACGAAUUAAAUUCAAUGGCGAAUAUAAUUCAUCAUGAAUAAAGACAAAAUAUGAUAAUUCCAUAUAUAUUCAACCACAAACAGAAAAUUUAAAAUAAAUAGUGCCAAAAAAAAACAUCUUACCAAUAUUCAUUUAUUCGAUUAUCAAGUGAAUUAACUCUCAAAACCAAUUAUACAACCUAAUCAGAAUUCUUCAAAUGCAAAAAGUUGUAAGUUGUAACUUUAAUUUAAUAAUGAAUUUAACCAAAAUUUAUAAAAUAAUUGUGUGAAAAGAAAAGAAAGAAAUCUCACAAAUCAAUUUUUAUCAAUUGAUUAUAAAUAAAUAAAUAAACAUUCAUCUUUCGAAUAGCAUAUGCAAAUAUUAAACUAGAUUAUAUUUAUAAAAUCUUAAAACUUUAUUUAAAGAAUCAAAACCCAAAAAUUUAUCAAGAGUCUCAAAGAUUCAACAUAAUAUAUAAUUAAAAUAUCAAAUCCAUAAAAUUAAAAAAGAAAAACGAAUCAAUCAAAAUUAAUAAACAAUCAAUUCAUUCUCAAUAAUUCAACAUGACAAAGCUCGGAUGCCACUUGUUAGAAUUUGUGAAAUAAAUUUGAAAUAAAACUUAAUAAAUCAGGAUCUAUCAUGUCAAACCAUCAAGAAUAAAUCAAGAACAAAACUAGAUGCGAAAGCGUGCCUAAAUCCAUGAAUUCCUUGAAGCUUUACCGAAUCUUGGGGAUUUGAUCUUUCAAAUUAGUACACAAGAAAUUCAGAGAAUAUCUGCUCUCUCUUUCCUAAUAAUGGGAUAUUAGAAAAGAUAUAUUGUGUAUAAUUUGGGGACCAUAACCCUAAUAUUUAUAACAUUGGUAUAUUAGUUCUAAUCAAAUUCUAAUUAACCCAUCAUUAAUUAGAAUUUGAUUAGAACUCAAUUACUAGAGUAUCUACACAUAUUUAACCCAUACUUUAUUUAAUAAUUAAAGCCCAAUAAAAUUUUAAUCAAACUAUAUCACUUUUAAUUUGGGCUAACCUAUCAUGAUAGUAAAUAAUAACAUAUAAUUACUCUUAUUAUAUAUGUGAUGUCCAUAUUUUCCAACAUCAACAUCAUAUAUAAAAAACUAUUAUUGUUAGUUGAAACAAAUGUGAGGAUUCCAACCUUAGUUGAUAAUCACAAAUAGUUGUGGCCAAUUUGGAUAUCAAGUAUCAUACUCAAAGGUAUUGAACGAAAAAAAAAAGCCAAUGAUAAAGUUGUUUGGUCAUUAAGAUGAGUCUUAUAAAAAUUUGUCGAAAACCCAACAGUGGUCAUUAGACACCAUAGUGAAUAUGGAAAAUUUCCUUGCAUAUGCUGACAAACAACUAGUCCAUGGUAAGUUAAUAUCAAUCGUGUGUUUUGGACAUUCAAAUCUUACAUUGAAGGGUUUCCACGUUGUAAACACAUUGCCUAAAUCAAUGGUACAUUGGAUAUAUGAGAAAUACAAACAAAUCUUGCUAUUGGUAGUUUCACAUGACAUUGAUUAAAAUGUCACUCCACUUGCCUUUACCAUUGUUAAGGGAGAUACCAUAUAGGUUCAGAGUUUAUUAUCGAGAAAUUUGCGUUAGUACAUUAUGAAAAAAGAUAAUAUAUACCUUAUAUUAGAUAGAGCUACAUUCAUAUUUGUUGUCGUUGAAUGCGAAGAGAAUGGAUGGAUUUCUUCGUAUACAUAUUUAUACUCUAUAUAAUAUAUACUUAUAAAACGUGUUUGACUAAGCUUAUAUCACUAGUCAAUCAGACACUAACUUAAUUGAAAAAUGACUAAAAGAUUUAUAAAGUAACAAUAUGACUACAAGUGUGUUUUUGUCUCUUUGCAUAAUUUAAACUCUAAACCUAUUCAAGGGUUAGACUACCCCUAAGCUAAAAGACUUGUUCAAAAUUUGAAAGGAUUUGGGAAAAAAUAUUAAACUAAAAAAUUGAGCUUCACAAAAAAAUUAGGCCAAUUUUCUAACUUUCUAAUGUAUUAUUUUAUUUUAUUUUAUUUUAUUUUUAUAUACUAGUUCCUAGUAUCAUGUGCAUUCUAUGUGAAUACAUGCAUUUGUAUUUUUAUUUUUUUAAUGUGAUAGGUUAUUUCAUAUAAUUGAAGAUAGAUUGCUUUAAUACCUAGAAUAACUCUAAAUAUCUUAAAGAUUUAAUUCCAAUAAAUAAAAAGUAUUUUAAGAACUGAGAUUAGAGUGUGAUUUAAUUUGUAUUUUACAAUAAUAAUAUAUAAUUUAAUUAUGAUUUUAAUGUAUUAAAAUUAUCGAAUUAAUUAAUAAUUUCAAAUUUUAAUGUUAUAAUUUUUUUAGUUUUAAUAUUAAAAACUAUUUUUCAACAUUUUAUAGUUUAAAUGUUUUUCUAUUUUAAAACCAAAUAACAAUAUUAUUAAUUAAAAAGUAGAUUCAAAUUGUAUAAAAUAUAAUAAAAUUAAAAUUUAUGAAUCUUGUUAGAAAUUAACUUAUCUAAUUGAGAUGUAAUUAUAUAAUAUAUUUUAUAAUAAUUUAUUUUCUUAAAUGAAACACAAAUCGAGAUAAAUCAUCUAAUGGUAUUAUAAAAAAAUAUAUAAAAGAAACUAAAAAAUAAAAGAACUUCAACUUCUUAAAAAUAAUUAAACUAAAAGUAUAUUUACAUAAAUUAAAAAAUUCAAUUUCCUAAAAAAAUAAAAUAUCAUUUUAGUACUCCAGUACUUUUAAGAUACUUCUAACUUAUCGAUACUAAUAAUUUUGGGGGCUAUGGAAAUAACUAAUAAUACUUAAAUUUAAUUAAAUCACAAUGCGCAUCAAGUUUAGGCUUGUUCAUGGGUUGUGUUACUCGCCUAAUUCAAAGAUCUGAUAAAAAAUUAGGAAGGUUUUGAUAAAAAAUUAGACUUAAAAAAUGAAUUUGGACAAAAAAAUUAAGCCCAUUUAGAAUAUAGGCUGAGCUUAAGCUUAAACAUUCAAGACUCGAGAUUUUUUAAUUUUGUAAUAUUUUAUAUUUUGUUAUUUUUAUAUAUUAUGUAAUUUGUAACGUAUAAAAAUUAAAUCUAUAGUAAUAUAAUGUAGACAUUAAAAAAUUAAGAUAAUUAUAUAUAGAAUUAUUAAAUAUUAAAUUAAAAAUAAUAUAAAUAUAAAAAAAUUUAAAAAUAAUAUGAGUGGGUCUAAAAUGGACUUUUGUUAGCCAGUUACAAGUGUAACCAAAUAUUAUUAUUAUCAUUAUUAUAAUCUUACAUUGUACAUGGAUAUAAAAAUAGAGUUGGAGAACAAAAUCUAUCAUCCACCCUAAAAUUGAUUUUCAUCUUGCCAUGAAAUGUUUUAUCUUCAACCAAUAUUUUUGAAAUCAGGCCAGGCGGGCCAGUCAAACCGGUUGAAGCAGGUAAAAAUCCCGUUUGAAUCGCGAACCAACCAGAAUCGCGGUUGAAGUGCUAACCAACGAUCGAAAAAACUGGUAAAAAAACGGUUGAAAGGAUUUUUGAAAUAUUUAAGCUAAAUUUGCCUAGGCCAAAUCGAAACAAAAAUAAAAUAAAAGCCCACUGUUAAAAUAAUAAAAGCCUAGUGUUAAAAACUUAAAACUAGCACAAAACAUAUGUAUCCAAACAAAAAAAAUAUUGCUUUAGGUUAUCGUCAUGACUUCAUCAACCAGAGAUUUCAGAUUUGAGAGAUGUUCAGUUUAUCAGAGAAGAAAAACAUUUACCAAGAAGUAGCUUCUGACAAAAAAUUCUCACGCUUAAGAAAGAUUUUAAAUAAAUAAUAAUAAUAAAAGCAAAGAAAAUGGUGAAAAAGAUGGACUCAUAAAAAAAAAAAAAAAAGAAAGCAACUUCAAUCUUUUAGGAAGGAAAAAAAAUAAAAUUAUCAGAAGGAAACUCAAAUUGACGAAAUUAUAUGUUUUUUUAAAAUAAAAUUUAAAGAAAACUCAAAUGGAUUAUGAAAUUAGAGUUUCUUAUAAUCAUCCCAAAUUGUCCCUUAGGCAGUAAAUAAAUUUCUUUUCCAUGGUAGUCCCCAAAAAUAAUUCCCAACACACUAAAAUUCAAAACUAAAAAAUAAAUUCUUUGUUUAUUGAUAUUUAUUUUAAUACGAAAAGAAAGAAGUUGAGAUCUAUUCAAUUUUUUAGUUUCUUUUGCUCAAAUCAAUUGUUCUUUUCUCUCUUCUUUUUCUACAGUCUUGUAAUUUGUAAAUAUGUUCAACCAGCAGUUAAAAUUGAUUCUGUCCAAAAUUAGUCUAUUACUCUAAUUAUAAAACCCUUGUUUUCAACUUUUAAAUAAUAUUCAUAUUUUUUGGACGCUACUAUUUGAAAAUGUUACAAUAUUGAAUGUUAUUUAUAAUGGUUUUUUUUAUUUAAUAGAAUUAUAAUAGUAAUUAAAUGAUUAUUAAUUUAAAAUAAUAUCUAUUAAUUAUUAUAAUUCAAACAAAUAAAUAUAAAAAUAUUAGUAAAUGUAAUUUAUGUCAAAUGAUAGCUUGUGAAGUAGUGAGCAUUCCUGUGAAAACAUAAUAAAAAUUGGUUAACCAAGUCAAAUGAUAGCUAUUUCGUCUUAAUUGUUGGAAUACUGCUUCUUUUGAAUAUAUUUUUAUAUGUUUAAAUCGAUUGUCAUGUUGGAAUAUUACUUUUGAAUUAAUUUUUUAUAUGUUUAAAUUGACUAUUACAUAACACUUCUAAUUGUAGCUUGCCCCUUCCCCAAGAUUAAUAUAUUGGCUCCGCCACUUGUAAUUUAUAACACAAAAAAUUAAACCUAUAGUAGUAUGUGUUACCAAGAUGUAAACAUUAAAAAAUGUUAAGUUACUUAUAUAUAAAAUUUUAAUAAAUAAAAAAUAUAUAAAAUUAUUAAAAUUUAAAUUAAAGUUAAUAUAAAUAUUUUAAAAACAAUAUAAGUAGGCCUCAAAUUAGCAUACGCCAAUCAUUUAUAAAUGUAAAUUGAUUUGAAUAAAAUUUUAAGUUAUUAUUUCAAGUUGUACUGAAUAAAUAUAAAAUGUAUUAAUAUUUAAAGACAAAAAAAUAAAAUUGAUUAAGGGAGAGAAAAAUGAAAAAAUAUUUUGAAAGAUAGAAAAUACAAUUUUAUCAUGAUUUUCUAAAAACUAAAAUUAUUUGGUAACAAUGGCAGCCUUCCAUCACCAGAAUUAUUACAUCAAUUUUUUAUCUGAUUGUUUAAAAAGAAUGAACCUAGCCGUCAUUCAAUCUGCAUGAGUUUACAAACCAAGUGAACCAUUCUUCGUACGCCACCUAUCUUCCAUUUUGUCCACGUGCAAUCUUACCGGAACAAGCCGGUAUGCCCUACUUGCUAUCCCCGGUCAACAAAACGUUCCAUUCUUCAAAAUCUCAUCUACCUUCAUUCAACCACAUCUUCGUCAACCACCUGUCUUCCGGUAACCCACCUCCCCUCCUUGCCUUUUCUAAGGUUUCAGUUUCAGGGACUCAUUUGUAAACACACACGCAAAAUUUAUUUAUACAUAUUCUAUGGGAAGCUCUGUUUGUGCGAAGCAUCGUUAUUUCCGUUAUUAGGAAUUUCAACUCCUCGGGAAAAGUUCCCCCAAACACUUCAAAAAUUUCCCUUUUAGGGUUUCAAUGGAUUUAUUUCAUACUAAAUCGGGUUUGUCCCUGGGUUUUACUAAAUCCUCCAUUGCGGAUGAUCCGAUUUCGCUUCAAAUGGACACCACCUUUCGCUUCUCCGUCUCACCCGUUCCGUUACAGUUGUUCGAGGAAAAAGACGACGGCCACCGUGAAAAUCGCAUCGAAAGUGAUGAAGAAAUUAGGAUUUGGGGGCAGUCUAUGUGUGUGAAAAGACAAAGGGAUCCUAAACCUCUUCCAAAUCCUUGUAAACGGUUUGCUCCCGACCCCGGUCUGGACCAAAGACGAGCCGCGGUCAGGUCGUGGGGAAACCAACGGCUACAAGAGGCCGAUCCUGAAUUGAGUGAGAUCAUGAACAAGGAAAAGCAGAGGCAAUUCUUAGGAAUUGAGCUUAUUGCUUCUGAAAACUUUGUGUGCCGAGCUGUGAUGGAAGCUUUGGGAAGCCAUUUAACAAACAAAUACUCCGAAGGAAUGCCUGGAGCGAGGUACUACACGGGCAAUCAUUUUAUUGAUCAAAUCGAAAGCCUAUGUCAAGAUCGUGCAAUGGCAGCUUUUAAUCUUGAUUCCGACAAAUGGGGAGUCAAUGUGCAGCCUUAUUCGUGUACUUCUGCAAAUUUCGCCGUUUAUACGGGACUUUUAUUACCUGGUGAUCGGAUGAUGGGAUUGGAUUCGCCCUCUGGAGGGCAUAUGAGCCAUGGAUGGUAUAUGCCGGGUGGGAAGAAAGUCUCUGCUGCGUCGAUAUUCUUUGAGAGUUUUCCUUACAAGGUGAAUCCUCAAACAGGGUUUAUUGAUUAUAAUAAGCUUGAGGAAAAGGCGCUUGAUUAUCGGCCCAAGAUUCUAAUUUGUGGUGGGAGUUCGUAUCCUAGGGAGUGGGAUUAUGCAAGGUUUAGGCAAAUUGCAGAUAGAUGUGGAGCUGUUUUGAUGUGUGAUAUGGCUCAUAUUAGUGGUCUUGUGGCAGCCAAGGUUUGAAAAUUUUCUUGUUUAAAUUACUUAUUAGUUUUAUGUUUUGAUUGUAGUUCAAAGGUUCUUUUCCACGAGUUAAGGUUUCUUGCAAUUUGUUUGGUGGAUAGGCUUGAGGUAAAUUACUUAACUAGUCUAGAAAAAGUAUUAAUCACUUAGAUACUACUGGGGUUAACUUACAAGCAGCAUUGCUGUUGGUAAACAUCAAGUAAUGUAUUACUGUUUGCCUGUCAAAUAUGCUUGUGAUUCACACAGCCCAACCUUCGAUCCCAUGCAGACAGAACCACACAUGCUCAGAUUUACAUUUAACAAAGACCUGAAAGAAAAGGCACAUUACUUGCAUUCUGGGGAGAAAGCUUGAGCUUAUUUGGCAGAAACCAAAUCCUGUCAGCCUGUGAAUUUGUAUAUCCAAACAACGUAACUUAUUGAUGUUGAACCAAGGGUAAACCUAUCUAUUAGAUUUUUUGAGAUGGACUGAUUUAUCAUAUACUAUUAUGAACUGUGAACUAUCUGACUUUAUGGAUCUUCUAAAAUUUUCUUUGUUUUCUUUUCCGUUCCUAAAAACUUUUGAGUUUAUUAGAAUUGGUAAUAUGUCAAUGUAAACACAUAUGCAUUGGGUUUAUAUACGAAUAAAUGUAAAUAGAUCUCAUCCUUUGUACUUUUGUACUUGUUAGUCAUGGCAAUGUGAUGUUUCAUUCCUUUUGUUCUUUUCUCCUUUUGGUCGGAUGAGUCUAAUUAUUUCAGAAAAAAGGAGAUUUUUGGAAGACAUGUAAGGAUAGGAUUUAUAUUUUGACUGUUGUAGUGAUGGUAAAGCAUAUGAAUUUCAUAGUUUCCGGUUUCCCUUAUGCUAACUACAUUUAGGAGAGCUCUAUUUGUUUGAAUACUUUACUGUUGCUAGCUCAACCGUGAUAUAUAUGAAAUUCAAAGUUAUACAAUUUACAAACUGUUGAUUUUUUUACAGGGUGUUUUUCUUCUCAAAGUUCAUAAAUCUAGUUUGUUAGGGUUAUUUAUGUACAAAUUAACAGGAACAACUGUGUGACUUUCAGGCUUGAACUGUUAGAAUUGUGUGCUAAGUUAUUGUUUGAGUUGUCUCCCCACACCCCAAAAAGAAAAUAAAAUCCAUUUGAUAUGCCUCGGCCCUUGUAAGAAUAUAAUAGCUUCAACUUAUAAUGGCUCUUCAUGUUGGUGAAUCUUUCAGUAUUUGUUUUUUAAUGCAAGGCAAUUUUGUGUUCUUACUCCAUACUGGCAUGUUUACCCUUGUACAUUACAGGAAUGUGCUAGUCCAUUUGACUACUGUGAUAUUGUCACUUCAACAACACACAAAAGUCUACGGGGCCCAAGGGGAGGUAUAAUCUUUUAUAGGAGGGGCGCGAAAUCAAGAAAGCAAGGCAUGUGUCUCAGUAAUGGUGAUUGUACUGACCAGCUUGAUUUUGAGGAAAAGAUAAAUUUUGCUGUCCAUGCAUCAUUACAAGGAGGACCUCAUAACAAUCACAUUGCUGCUCUUGCCAUAGCAUUAAAGCAAGUGACUACACCAGAGUACAAAGCCUAUAUGCAACAGGUGAAGAAAAAUGCUCAGGCUUUGGCAUCUGCUCUACUGAAAAGAAAAUGCAAGUUGGUUACCGGAGGCACUGACAACCAUUUGUUGCUGUGGGAUCUCACUACACUAGGCUUAACAGGUGCCUGCUCAAAAUCACAAAUUUGGUUUAUUUACGUGCUGUGCUAACACCUGAAAUUUUCUUUUGGCUUGAAUUAAGUUUCUUUUUUGUAAUUUCAUUCGAUUAUGUUAAAAAAUUGCAUAUUCACUUUGUUUCCAAUUUUUCAUCCAGAACUUCUUAACGGCUUUUUUAACCUUCUUUUUCCCCUUCUUUCCAGGCAGCCUCUGUAUGCAUUUCGAAGUUAUCUUCCCUUGUUGCAAAAUGUGGCAUUGAUUUAUCAAAAACCCCUUGUAAAGAUCGAUCUCUAGUUUGUUACCAUUUUAUUCUUGACUCCCCCCCCCCCAAAAAAAAAAAAAAACAAUUAUUCAUGGCUAUAUUUUAGAAGGGGAAAGCAUACAACAAAGUGUUUUUCUUUUCCCAUUUAAAGAGUAUAAGUUAAUUCUUGCGAAUCAAAUCUAGAAAGCCAAUAAUUAAAUAUAAUUAAAGAUUCUAUGUAGUGAAAAUAGAAGGUGAUACUUAAGUUUAAAGGCUGUCAAUUUUCCGGCGAAUUAAAGUGAAGUGAACCUGUUGCUUGUCAACUGUAUUUGCUAUAAGUUUUCUUCCCGUCUACAUCUCACCAUCCCAUCUGUUUGACUAGCUAAAAAGUAAUUUAUUACUAUGAGAAGCAACCUAUAUGUUCAAUUGUUCAUAUGCAUGGAGCAUUUCCUGCAUAUUAAGACAUGCUUUCUUAGACUAUUCCUUCCAUAGUUAACACUUUCCACAUUCUGUUUCCCAGGCAAAUGCUAUGAGAAAGUUUGUGAGAUGUGCCACAUCACUCUGAAUAAAACUACUAUAUUUGGUGAUAAUGGUGCUAUUUCUCCCGGAGGAGUGAGAAUUGGUGAGCAGUAUUCUUGUAUUUAAUGUUGAAGAAAUUUCUAUUUCGUUCUGAUAGCUCCAUAGAACAGUAGUUAUGUUCUAUUUCCUUCAGGCAAAGCACAUUUUUUUGGUUUGUUUUCAGUUUUUUUUUUCUUUUUUUUUUCUUUUUGGGACAUGAUAUCAUUCAAGUGAACCAAUUCAUAGCACCAUGUGCUGGACUUCCAUUAAUCAAUUCUUUCAAAUGCACUAAUAUGUUCUAUAUACCCUAAUAACAUAUUUAGAAUUGUCUAAUUCAUGUAGUAUUUGGAGUGUUACCAUACCAACUGAGGUUAUGUGAAUAUUCAAAGGUGUUGAAAGAGACAUAGUGUUUAUGGUUUGUUCUUCUUGUCAGCUAACUAGCAUUGGUUUUAUUGGGGACUAAGACAUUUUUUAGAACCAUAUGAUUCAUGACUUUGAGUUAAUGACUAGUUCUUAAAAUACCAAAAAAAGCAUAAGCAAAUUCACAAGAGGUUCCUAGUGUAUUAAAUAUGGAUGUUUUUUACUUUUAUUUAACCCACUAUAACAUGAAUUUAGUUCAUUUAUAGUGAUCCUCCGACUAUAUUCUUCUAUUUUAAUGUUAUCAAUGUGCUGGCUUACAGUCUGUCUUGCUCCAUUAAUGUCUUAAUUGCCUAAUUUUCUCUCAGGUACGCCUGCUAUGACAUCAAGAGGUUGUUUAGAGUCUGAUUUUGAGACAAUCGCUGACUUUCUCUGUACAGCAGCUGAAAUUACGAGUUGUGUGCAGAGGGAUCAUGGAAAAUUGCAGAAAGAGUUUCUCAAGGGUCUUCACAAUAAUAAAGAUGUUAUUGAUCUCCGGAUUCGUGUAGAGGCAUUUGCUGCCCAGUUUGCAAUGCCUGGAUUUGAUUCUUGAAGAUUUAUAAGAUGGCCUGCCUGCUACUUGGCAUACCCUCAAUUUUUAUCUGGUAAUCAAAAGUUAUUUUGCAUAUCCAUGUGUUUCCCAUUGAACUUGUGUGUAAAAUAAAGAAAGCAGGUCAUACAGUUCUGCAUAUGUUUUAAAAAAUUAUAUUGAUAAAAGUUAUAAAGAGCCAUCUCUUUAAAAUACUGUAAUAAUAUUUAUGAUGCAAGAAACAUACAUUUGGUGAAGGUCUAUUUAGUCAGUCUAGUUUCCAUAUUUGGUAUGUUAAGUGUAUAGCCAGAAACCCAACUGUACUAUGUAAUAUGGAUUCUCAAGUAAUGUUUAGCCUACUGAAUUGAUUUAUUAGAAUGUCCUUUUUAUAGGAAAAUGUGUAUGUAUAGAAAAAAAAGUGUAAUUGAUGUAUUAUUUAAAAUACAGAUUGUUUAUAAGACUAUGAACACAUACCAUGAUAUUAUCGGUGCAUUUACUUGCAAUAUAGUUGCUGCUGUUGUAGGGAUUUCAUUGUUAUUAUUGUUGGUGUUUGCUACUGUCAAAUUGUAGUGAAGAGGAAACAAAAGCUGAAAAGCUUUAGUUUUAAAGAAAAGUAGAAGUAAAGCAAAUGAAGAAAACAUAUGAUAUGGGUGGCUUGGCGUGAUGUUGAACUAAGUUAUAUUUUUGGUUUUUUGCUGUUUCACUACUAUGAUUUAUGUCUGUCAUGUAAUUUCCAACAUUAUUUUAUACCGUUUCCUUGUGUUUGAGGUUUCUAUUCAGGAACACACCCUUGAAGGGAGGCAAGGCAUGAGACAAAAAGCAUGAGAUACGAGAACGUGAUUUAUUUUUAUUACUUUAGUUUUAAGAAGAACACAAUAAUAAAACUAAAAUUGAGACUUCAUUAGCUGUCUCGAAAUCAUUAAUGGGUAAAUUAGAAGUAAAAUUUUCUGAUCUUCACAUGAUGGUAUAGUUUGACCCUAAACCCAGUAGCUUCCGAAAAAAUAGAAAGAAACAAGAAGGGGACAGACAGGUCAGGAAAAGAAGGGGGGAUUAUAUUUAUAUGUGCGUUUUAUUUUUCCUUUAACGAAACAGAAGCAUUUUCAUGAUUAAAAAGGAGUGGCCAUUGGACUUUUGCUUUUUGAAACCCCGAAUCGGACAUCAUAAAGCUUUCUAAAUAUCAAAUAAGGCCAGCUCUGGUGGGGAAUCUCAUUGUCCUCUUCAUUACCCCUAGUAUAUUUGUUAUUUAUUUUAGGCUCUUUUACCUAAUUAUUAUAAAAUAAACAAAUAAAUUAUUUACUUAAACAAUGUGUGUUUAGAAUUAGAAAAAAAAUAUUUGUUAGAAAUUUUAAACUCCACAAAUAAGAUAAGAGUGAUUAUAACUGUGUAAUAGAAUGUAGUAAAUUUUUUAAAAAUAAAUAUAUUAAAAAAAUAAAACACAUGUCAAUUUUUUUACUUUGCUUCUAGAGUUAAAAUAUUACAUUAACCAUAAAUCCUUAGAAUUAUUUAAUAAAAGGAUAAAUUAUAAAAAUAGUCAUUUUUAUGUCUUAGAUUACAUUUUAGUCAUUUAUGUUUAAAAUGUUACGAUUUAGUCACUUAUAUUAGAGUUUUAUUACAAAGUGGUCACUUUAUCAUUGAGCUCUGUUACCUCCCUAACGACAAUCCUAUGUGGCAGUCCAAAUAGAUUUUAAAUGCCAACUUGAAUAUCUAGUUGGGGUGAGAAUAAGUUUUUAAUUUUUUUAAUGAAAAUAGAAUACAAAAUUUUGCCCUAAAAUCUAAAAUUUUGCCUCUUGGUUAUAGUUCGCUCACCUUACCUUCCCCUUCGCUUUGUCUCCAGUAUUUGGGUAUUCUUCUUCUUCUUUUGCGAAUUCAAAGUCAUUUUUUCAAUUACAGGUUCGUAUAAAAAUGCAAUCCCUAUUUAUACAACUCCAUUUUUUGUUUAUUCGAGUAUUUGGGUAUUGUUGGACUUUUUGUUUGAAGAAAGAAAAAAUUGGAUCUCGAAAGAUUUGGGAAAAGAAAUUAAAUAGUGUUUCAGAUAUAAAACACUAAAGAUUUUAUCUUUUGGAAUUCUUUUUAAGGGUUUCUUCUAUUGUGAAGAAAAUAUCAAAAAAGGAAUAUAUACCAAGAUGGAUGGAUGCAAAAGAAGAAAAUAUCACGGUUUUUAAUUUAGGGUUAUCAUUAAACAGUGUGUUGUUUUAGAGUAUAAAAGAAAAAGGAGAUGAUAUAUUUUUCUUUUUUAGUUUAAGGUGUAAUUAAUUUAAAAUUUUUAAUUAUUUAAUUAAAAACCUAUUAUCAUCCUAAUUGGACAUUUAAGUUGACAUUUAUAACCUAUUUGGACUGUCAAGUGGGGCUACCAUUAGGAGGUAGCAGAGUUUAACAAUAUAGUAACCAUUUCGUAACAGAACUCUAACAUAAAUGACUAAAACGUAAUAUUUUAAAUAUAAAUGACUAAAAUUUAAUCUGAAACAAAUGAAAGUGACUAUUUUUAUAGUUUAACCUUAAUAAAAUAAUAUGAAAUGAAGUAUCAUUUUAAUAAAUUCAACACCAAAUUGCCACCAAUGGUGAAUCUUGAGCCUGAAAUUUCCCCAUUAAUAGCGAGUUAGGAUAUCUAGGUGAAAUGCUACAGAGAAGCUUUGUCACUUCAAGAUUUCAAAUAUAAAAAUGAAUAUUUAGAUAACUUUCAUCAAAUUUUAGUAAAAAAAAAAAAAACACUUUAUUUUGCCACUGAUAUAUUUGUUAUUAUAUUUUAUUAUUAUUAUUUUUAAGUUUACAAAAUAGAACCUUCUACUUUUUGGUAGCAUUGGAUCAAGAGGGAACCCACUUUCAAAAUUAAAUUAAAGUAAAAUACCUAGCCACUGUUUAAUAUUACACUCUAAUAUUCUCCCUUUUUUAUUAUUUCUUAAUUCAAGAUAGCAGAAACUUCUAUGUCCUUUUUUUUAAUUCAAGAUACCAAAAACAACAUUAGAGAAAGCCCUGCAUGAAAAAUUCCUCUUUUUGGGGGAUUCUUCAAGAUUUUUGAAGCCCAAAUCCAUCUGCUUUGCUCCCCAGCAUCCAUAUGAAGAGAAAAAAUAAACUACUAUCUCCAUGGUAGAAGCAAUAAAAUGCAUGAAAAUAAAAAUAAAAAUUAGAAGGAAGAGAAGGGUUAAAAGAAACAACAACUGAUUCCCUUUACAAUUUUUACCCAAAUCUCUUACCUGUGACUGCAGAAGUCCAAAAGCUUCUUCCUCCCUUCAAUAAUCUCAUCAAAGAAAUCAUCAAUUUGUCCAACAAUAUUUUCAACCCCAGAUCUCAAUAUCCCAAAACACCCUCUCAUGUUGUCUACUUUUUCCCUCAACCCCACUUCUGUUUCCCACUCCACCACCCCUCCUCCUCCUCCUCUCCUCUCCAGCUCACCUCUCACCUCUUCCAUUGCCAUCUUUGACCUCCUAAACUCAUACAACAAUAUCCCUGCUUUCCCAUUCAUCCCGUUUAUCUCUUCUGCUACUCUUUGUUGCAAUCUUGCUGUUGAUAUCAUGAAUGUUGAUCCAAAACACACACAACCUUCGUUUCCCCCUCUUACCAUACUUGAUUCUGGCCAACAAUGAACCCCCCCAUAUAGUAACAUCAUUAGUAGCAAUGAACUUACAUUCCUCAUUGCAUAUAAAACUCCUCGGAAGCCAUUGAAUCCAUUCAACUUUGAUUCCAUUGUAACUUUCUCUUCCAACUUUAAUGAAAGUGGUUGGAUUCUUGUUUCCAUGAACCCCCUGUUUUCUUCUUCUAAUCCCAUAGCUUCUCUCCGGCAUCUUGAAAUUGCUCUGAUUACCUGUUUUGAAUUUAAAAAGGAAUCAGAUCAUGAAUUGAAUGAUUGAAAUUAUGAAGAAAGUUUGGGAAUUGAAGGACCUGUCUUGAAAGCUGGGGACUAAGAUGUCGAUGAUUAUCAAGAGAAGAAAUGAUGUUAAACCCAGAAGAAUAAUAAGUUUCCAUGCCGGAUAUGCCUGAUUUAAGAACAUGACAAGCAUCCCAAAGCUUGGAACUUUCAUCCAUGUAUUCAUCAAGCCACUUAUCACCAACAGGGAGAUGUAGUUUUUGAACAAGGAUGAGCAACUGGGAAUGGAAAGAUCUGAGAAGGCAAAGAACCCUUUGAAGAAAUUGGAUUGACAUGAAAUUAUUAGAGAGAUACACCCUUUCAAGAUCAUCUAACCCACGAGUAAGGAAAGUGUAGAAUCCAUUCGCAGAGCUCAUGGAAGAUGGAUCCAUUGAAACGGGGGGGGGGGUGUGGAGAAAAAAAGGUUAUGAAAAGAAGGGAUUUAUAUAAAUGGAGAUGAAUUCAUGAAAUAUGAAAAUGAUGAAGAUGAAAAAGAAAUUAAAAGGAAUAUAUCUUAGAAGCUCAAAUUUCUAAGGUUGAAAAGGAUUGUUGGGAGCAAUGAUGGUGUUUCCUAUAGAGGGGAAAGGAUGAUUGGUAUUGUGCUAUUUUCAUUGUUUAAUCAACAAAAUAUAUUAAUAGAUAAGAAUUACUGAAAAUGAAAUUUGAGAAAUCAAUAUUACCAAAACUGAAAAGAAAAACCAAGUAAUGCAAAAGAUUUGGUAUAUGAUUGUUUAUUUCAUCCCUUGAAGAUUAAAAUGAAGUUUAUUUCAUGAUCAGCUGUUUAUUUCUUUUAAAAGAAUUAUAAUAAAGUGAUUAAUUACUACUAAUAAUGAAUUUUGAUAACAGUAAAAAUAUUUUGAGAAUUAUUACAUAUAAUUAACUUUAUAUAUAAUAGUUGAGAAUUUUUGAAGUUGGGAUAUAUACUUAUAAGAUGAUAUAGUGUGUGAGUGAGUUUUAUUGGGGUUUUGAGUUUUGACUGAUCAUAGACUCAGAUUCUCUGUCUUUAAUCUCUUCCUAUUUUAGAGGGUCAGAUGCUUGAAACUCAGUGCUCACUUGGUCUGCUUCCCAUCCCAUCUUUAUUAGUAUAUAAUGCAAUUGGAGGAAUAGUAUGAAUAACCUCACAUUCUUUUAUUGUUAUAUAAUUAAUAUUUUAAUAAUUCUUAUUAAAAUAUUAAUAUUUAUUAUGCUUGUAAAAUUUUUAAUUAAUCUAAUAUAUUUAUCAUCUCAAUUUAAUAUGUUAUUUAUAUAUAUAUAUAUAUAAUAGUUGAAAGUUUUUCAAAUAAUGCAUUGAUGUUGUAUAACUUUGUGUUGUUAGGGAAACAAAUAUGAUGACACAUUUUUUGAGGUUAAAUUCUUUUUAUCACAUAAUAAAAAAUUUGUUUUAAUAUUUAUAUAUGGGGUGGAUUCAUUUACACAAUCUAAAAUUAAAGUAGUUUAACAAACUUUCGUAACUUUUUGUACUAAUGAAAUAUUAAUAAUUCAAUAGUUGAAUUUAUUAUGCAUGUAAAAUUUUAAAUUAAUUUGAUAUUUCUAUUAUGUCAAACUAAAAUAUCAUCUAUAUUAAUUAUAUUGAACGAUUGAAAGUUUUUUUUUUACAUAAAAUAAAUAGUUAGAGUUUUUUAAUUUACACUAAAUUUGACGUGUAUAAUCAAAUGGUUGGAACAUGAAAUAUGAUGAAUUGUUAAAAUAUAAAUCAUAUAAAAAGUUACAGGAUUGUGCAAACUACUUUAGUUUUAAAUUGGUGUCCGUGGAUCCUUCCCCUCUAUAUAUUUAUAUAAUCAAAAUUUAAAUAAAAAUAUUUUUAUUUUGGUAAAAGUACCAUGAAGACCCUUAUACUAGGAGUGAGAUUGUUGUUGCCCCUUCUAUUAAAAAAAUAGGUAAAUUAGUCACUGUACAUUAAAUUAAAAAAGUAAAUUGAUCAUUGCUAUUAAAAAUUUCAUGCAUUUGUACUAUUAAAAACUAGUGUAGUUAACAUAAUAACUAGAAAGUGACACGUAUAUCUUAUGCUGAUGUACAAUGACUAGUUUUUAACCGUAAAACUGGAUUAAAUUUUUAACAAAAGAAUCAAUUUACUUUUUAAUCAAACACAUAUAGACUAAUUUGUUCAUUUUUUUAAAUAGAGAACAAAAUACAAUCCAACUCCUAGUAUAGAAAUCUCUAUAAUAUUUUUAUAUUUUAUUUUUAAAUAAUAAUUAAGUCGGAUAAAAUAAUAAUUUAGGUGUAGUUACUAUAUGGGUAACAUCUAUUGAAAUUUGUGGGCUUAGAUUUUGUUUAUCUUUCGAUAUUUUCAAAAGAAAUAAUUGCGGGAAUUCAAAAAUGGUGAGAUCUCUACUUUCUACUAUGCAAAAUCAAUGUUUUUAAGGAUAUUAUUAUUUUGAAUAAUCUCGUUUUUUUAAUAUAAUAUUUAAAAUUAUUUAUAAUUUUUUUAGGAGAAAAAUACGUGUUUUAACGCACUUGAAUCCAUAUUUUCUUGUAUUAACAAUAAUAUUUAUGUCAAUUGAACUAAAACUCAUUCGGUUAGACCAUUAUUAUUUUUAAAUUAAAUAAUUUUAGAAAUAAAAUGAAAACUUAAUAGAAUUAUAAUAUACUCAAAAAAUGGUAUAAUAAAUAAAGUACGUGUUUAUAAAUUAUAAAAAAAAAAUUAUGAGAUAACGAUGAUGUUUAUAAUUAAAAAGAAAAGUCAUAUACAGUGAACUAAAUUAAGUUGUUAAAAUUAUGAUGUCAUUAAUAGAAUUAGGUUAUACUUAAAAAUAAAACAUCAGUAAGUAAGUUGUCAGAUAUAAUUAUUACUUCUUUUCUUUAAAAAAAAAUCAUCUACUUUAUUGUUUAUAUUAUAAAACUUAUGAGCUAAUCAACACCGUUGCUUUCACCAGCUUUAGGACCCAUCAAACGGCGAACCCCAAAUAAAAGAAUUUGUUUCCUUUUGAUUAUUGUUUUAAGAUAUACAAUGUUUUGGGACACCAAUUUUAUUUGAAUCAUUCAUUCUUCCCACUUUUGCUAAUUAAAAAUUAUUUAUUCCUUCUUAAAUAAAAAUAUGUUUAGGCACCUGCAAAUUAUAUAUUUAGAAUAUAUAUAAAUAAUUUAUAGAAAAUACUGAAAUAUAUAAUUUUAGAUUAAUUAAUAAUAACCUAUAAAGUAUAUACAAUAUUAAAAUGAAAAAGAAGAAGAAGAUUAAAUUGUGAGUAAUACGAAAUUUAAAUGUAUAAAUACAUUAGAUUAAGAAUACUAAAUACACUAGAAUUGUUUAUUCGGGUGUCGAGUUAACUUGUGACACUAGAUCAAUUAACAACUUUAGCAAUAUAUAGAAUUGAUGGAGGUAAUAAAGUAUGCAUAAUAGAAUUAAAAUGUAUUAAAUAAGAUAAAACUUUAGUUAAGCGACAAAAUUAAGAUUUUAAGAGCUUAAAGAUUACAUGUUUAAAUUUCAUCACAUGUAAAUUUUUUAUUGACUAUUUUAAAAAAUUAAAAAGAUUAAAGUACCAUCGAAUAAUUUAGCUUCUUUGAAUGCGGAAAGAAAUUUUCGUAAUUUUUCUAGUUGAGUUGGGUAGUGACACUAACUUAAUUAAGAGCUUAAAUAAUAGUAUAAAUGUAUAUAGAAACUAACUGAAAAUUUUAAGAUUAACCAUGACAACUUUUCUUAUUAAAUUUAUAGUGCACUCACGAUGUGAGUGAACAAAAUUAUGUAACAAAUAUUUUUGUUCAAACUUUACAUAAAAACCAAUUGAUGUUUUGCUUAUCAUGGUAAAGCUAAUUGUUUAUUAUGCACGGUAUUGUAGGUUCAAAUCUCAUUUUGCUAUAUAAGAAGAUAAAAUACCCUCAUAAAAUAUAAUUUAAUUUAUAUAUAAGAAAGUAUUUUAGAAAUUUUAUAACUAAUUUAGUGCUUGAUUAACCCACACUCAAAGUUAUUUGUGGUUCGAGAAUAACGGAGAAGAUCGUUCAAUAGAAAAUCGGGAUCGACUUAACCACCUUGUACAAAGCACAUGUAUAUUUCGAUUAAAGUUUUGUACUAUAAAUAUCACAAUGGCUCGAUUUUAAAGAAAAAAUUUUAAACUUUUAUUAUGCCUAAAACACUGUUUUCUAAAUUGAUUUUUUCAACACAAAUUUCAAAGUAUAACAUCCAAAACUUCGAAGAUGUCCCUAACAUUUAGCAACUUCCCCUUAGGACCAUUCAAUUGCCUCAACGGAGGUCAUUUUAUGACCUCCCCCUUAAUUAUGGGCAAUUGUUAUACCACCUCCACAUAUCACCCUUGAGCAUCGCCUCAUCAAGUGCACCUUUGCCAUCAAUCACCUUCACUGAAAGCAAGACUAGUUGGCACCCAACACCUAGAGCCCUUCAAUCAUGAUGAGACGACCAUCACUUGUUAAGCCACCCUACAUUGCCUCAUUACCGAUCUACAGGAUCAUAGAGCUGCCUCUAAUAGGGACAAAGAGGUGACCCAUUCACUAAUAAGAUGCCUAUAUGUUGCAUCCCAAACCUCUCAUAUAAAAGCCCUCUCACCUCUGUAGAAAGGGUACAUUAGAUAGACAAUCCUCUUCUCUAUCUACUCCUCUAGCAAUCUCUCUCCUUCUCUCCUCCUUUCUCCCCCUUUAUCACCUCUCCGUCCAUGAUGACUUUCUGCCCUUAUAGGGUGAAUUGCCUUGUACCUUCGUCAACCUCUUCCCUUAUUGAUUCUUAAUAUCAACAAGUACAAAGGAUUGCAAAUAAAAAGCUGGGAAGAAUCAGACAAAACUCAUACAUGAUAUGCGCACAAAGUGGAAUUAGAGAUCCACACAAAUGCAAUUGUACAUAAUGAAAUCUGAACCUAAAUAUUCAAUACUCGUCUCACCUUUUGCCAACCGUGUGAAGGUUUAUUUGUAUUGAUUUGAUUAUUUUUAAUAGAUUUUUUUAUGUUUCUUAAAAUGAUAAAUGCAGUGGUUUUUUUUUUAACAAAGCGAUUAGAUUUUAAUUUUAAUUCUUUAUUUGGAAUGAUAUUAAAAAUUUAAAACAAUUUAUUUAAUAAGAAUCAAAAUAAAAAAUGAUCAUAGUCUAAGGGAAAUAGUACAUGUCACUGUUUAUAUAUAUAAUUGGAUAAGCAUGGAAUAAAUGAGGGAUUGGGGAUUAUAGAUAAAAAGCUUUUUCACAUGUGAAAGCCAUUAAAGUCUAAGAAAACUAUGAAAAUUUGCCAACAAAAACUAGACAUAUCUUCUCACCAUCCAAAUCUUGCUUAGUAAAUUAGGGCAGUUCUGGAUUUCAGCCACAUCUCAUUGUGAGGUCGGCGGGUGACAAUUUGUUUGCUCUCCUUUGGUAAAACACUUCAUUAUGUGAAAUUUUAUUGAAAGGGAAAUUGUAAUUUUUAGAAUUUUUUAAAUACGUGGUAAAGUGUAAUUUAAAAUUUAAAAUGAAUAAAACAAGUUUGAAAGUAAUUAGUUUAAUUCUUUCAAUUUUUACUCUCUAAUAAAAAUUAGAGUGUUCUAAUUAUACCCGAUUCAGCGAGACUCGUUGGUUACAUAUUUAACUAAACAUGUAAUACAUUAAAAUCUAAUUACUAUGUUACUUCCCAAAUACACCUUAAGUUAUGUUAAUUUUAUGCUUUUGUGUAAGAAUUACUGUGUUUAAUAGUUACAUUAAAUUAUGAUUAAAUUUAAAGAUAAGUCAAUUUAAACAUGAAAUAAUCUCUCCCAACAUCAUUUUCUCCGAUUUAAAUUCUUACUAUUUAAAUUCAACAUGUUAAUUUUAUUAGAUAAUAAUCCUAAAGUACAUGAACAGUACUAAGAAAAGUAAAUGCAAUGCAAAGAAAUGCUAGUCAAACGGCAUCCCAUCACGAAAUCAAGAAAGUGCCCUAGAAAUCCCAUAUAGAGGGGAAUGUUUCAUUUUCUUCUUAAUGAUCUUAAAUGGAUACAACUGGACAGUCCAAAGCCUCUAACAUAUGAAAAUGAUGUAAGGAAUAAUUGUUAUGAAAUUAUUGAAACUCUAAAAACUGGCUUAGUGGAAUGAUAUAUAUAUAUAUAUUAAAAUAAAAGAUAAACUAUAUUUAAGGUCACUAAAUUAUUGGUAAGUUUAUGUUUUAGUUACUCAAUUUAAAAAAGUUACAAAAUGAUCAUUGAACUAUUCAAAAGUUUUUCUUUUAAGUCACAAAGGUGUUUAGUUUUUUUUUUUUUAAGUUUCGUUAGUGAGCUCCAAUCGACAAUUCGACUACCGAUACAAUAGACUAGUACCCCUUGACGAGUAGAAGAAUAUACCUUAGAUCCAAGUCAAUUUGACUGCCAGUGUCAGAGAUCAAAGGAGAAAACUGUUUAAAUUUUGGUUCACAAAUUGUGAUAUUCAAAAUUGUUUCAUGAAAAAAAUGAUCUGUAAAAAAAAGAAGAAGAAUAAAACUUUCAAUUGUUGCAAACGGUGUGAAUAAAGAAGGCCAUACAACAACAAUUUUAACAUCCCAAUGACUUAAAUGAAAACUUUUGAAUAGUUCAAGGGCCAUUUUGUAACUUUUUGAAGUUGAAUGACUAAAACAUAAACUUAAUAAUAGUUUAAUGAUUUUGGGUAUAGUUUACCCUAAAAUAAAUUAUUAAAAAAUGGUAACGUUGAAAUCCAUUUGCAAACUCUAUACUAUUAUUUAAAGGGUUAAUUGAGUUGGUAUGAUUCAUCAACCAAAUCUCAACUCAGUUGUGAAGUUAUCAAAAAUUUAUUCUUUUUAUUAAACUAGCUUUUAAUGUCACAUGUGUUGCAUGUGAUUUUACAUGUUUAAUAUUUAAUCAAUUUUUUUAAAUAUUAUAUUUUUUAAUUGCAAUAAUUAAUGUGAUAAAAUAUUUCUUAUUUGAAUUAUUGAAUAUAAUUAAAAUACAUUAAACUUAUCAAUUUAAAUAUUGUAAUAGAAUUUUUUCAAAUAAUAAUUAAAGCAUUUUUAAUAUAUUCAACAUAUAAUAUAUUUUACUUUAUGUAAUUAAUGCAAAUUAAUAUUAUUCAAAAUAAUAACUAAUUAACUCUAAUAUUAAUUAAGUGAUAAUUAAGAUGCUUAGAAUUUUAUUCAGUAAUAACUCUAUUUUACAUUAAUAAAAUUAGCACUAUUUUUUUUAAAAAUAAAACUAUUACAACUUCAUUUUUAUGUCAAUUUUUUUAACUAAUAGUUAUAAUUAUAAUUAUAUUUAAUUUUUUUUGCUGUAUUUUAUGCUUAAAUUUCUAUUCAAGUGCCAUUUGAGUCUUAGCUCAGUUGGUAUUGGCAUUGGUAUUGCUGCCAAUAUAAGAGGAUGUGAGUUUGAGUGCGAUGAAGCACAUUAUCUUUUUAUUUAAGGGUGGGGGCUAUGGGUAGUUCUAGGCACUAUAUCAAAAAACAAAGACUAGGAAUCGUGAUACUAUACCCAUAUGAAAGGAAGUAAAUCUAAAAAAAAAAAAAAUCUAUUCAAGUAAUAACUCUAUUUUAAAAUUAGCAAAUCAUUUCUUAAAUAAUAAUUUUAAAUUAAAUUAUAAUUAUUUUUAAAAGUGUAAUUCUAAUAACUUCAAUUUCUAAAUAAAUUAUAAUUAUUUUUAAAAUUUGAAUUUAAUAAUUUGAUGGAAAAUAAGAUAUAUUCUCGUAAGUUCAAAGGUUCUUCUAAACUCGUGCUUUUAUAUAUAUUAUAGAUAACAAACAUUGUUAUAAAAGUAUUUCUGUCAUUGUAUAUUUUAUGUAAAAUUUAGAGAAAUAAGUAUGAUAAAAUACUAUUUUAUGAUUUAAAAAAUCACAUGGUGUGUGUGAUAGGAUAGUUAAAAUAAUGUGAGUGUGAAAAAUGAAGAAACAUAUGAAAUCAGUUGUGGAAGGAAAACAAAGAUAUGGCUGGGAUUGGCAAGUUAGUUCAACUCAUUUAAAUUUGGUUUUUCAGGGACCACUUUGGUUCAAAGACAAAGUGAUUGAUAUUUUCCCAAACCUCACUUUAGGGCAGAAGUUGAAGUGUUUAUAAAGUUUUAGGGUUUAGGGUUAAAAUAAAAUUUCGAAUAUAUGCUGACCCUGUUUGGUAAAAGAGAAAAAGAAAAGUGAAAGUUGAUGUAGGCCAAAUGUCAAUCCCACAAACUACACAACUCGAUUCAUAAUCAUAAGCUCGACCUUCUAAAGUGGGACUGUUCUACUUUUCUUUUCCUCUGGGCCACCCCUCUUAUGGACUUUUUACUACUUAAAUAUUAAAUUCUUUUAUUUUUAAUUAUUUUUGGAUUAUUUUAGUUAUAUUUAUUACAAUGUUUAUAUCUUUAGUUUGGAAGGGAUUAUGAUUAGGGAAAUGGCGAAAUUAUUAUACAUUAACUUAUAAAGAUUAAAGUUAAAAAAUGUUUAUUAGUAUACUUAAUCAUGGGUCGGGUUGACCUAAAAUUUUAGGUCCAUUUUCUAGGUUCGGGUCUGUCUUAGCUCGAAAAAUGAGUUUAAAAUUUUGUCCAAGCUCAAUCUAAAUUAAAAAUGCUAAACUCGAGCUUGACUUGGCCUACUUAUAUUAAUUUUUUUAGAUUAUUUUUUUAUGUAAAAAAAAUUAAAAUAUAUAAUACAUGAAAUACACUAAAAUUAUUAAAAUAAAUGUUCCUCGCCAAAUUGAAAUUACAUUAAAAAUAUUUAUACUUAAAUAACAUUAAGAUAAUUACAACUUAGCUAACAAAUGCCUUUAAAAUAGUAGUAAAAUUAACAAUAAAACGAGAUGUAUAUAAUAUCUAAAUAAUGACAAUAUAAUAACAAAAUAGUAGUAAAACAACAUCGAAACAUCAACAAAACAGUAGUGAAACAGUAGCAAAACAACAAUAAAAUAGUUGAUUUAGGUUAGGCCUGGGUCAAGAAAUCCUACCCGAGGCUCGACUUAUUUAGAAAAUAGAUAUUAUUUUUUGAAUAUAUAUUUUUGUUUAAGCCUUCCCAAUUUUUGAACCAACCUUCAAACUUGGACAAAUAUCAUUGGCCCAUGAUCAGAUUUAUUUAUUACUAAUUUAAUUCCCUUUUUAAAGUUUUUUUUUUCGCCAAAUAUAGUGUGUAUAAUCGUUGAAUCGAGGAUGGAAAACCUUUUCCUUUUAUAAAUUCCUUUAUUCAACUUAUUUAAUUGCGUCAUGUGCUUUUAAUUUUGAUUUUAAAUGGGUAAUACAUUUAUGUUAUAACAUUAUUUUUUAGCGAAAUAAGAAUACAAAUUAAAUAUUAGGAUGAGACUUGUAUCUCCUUCAAUUUACUCAAAGCUAUUUUUAGAGUUGGUUUGGAUGAGCGGUGGGUGUGAUACGGUGUGUUUAACUUACUUUUUAUCUCAUACUACAGUAUUUAAUUUCUUCGUCACCGCUGUUCUUACACUAACUGCAGUAAACACAUAGUAUAUCCAAACCCAUCCUUAAUAGAGUAAAAAAAAUUGAAAAAAAAAAUUAGUGGGUAGAAAAAUAGAAUGAUGAAAAUAUUUCUUUUCAUAAGCAUACUUAGUAGGAAAUGUAGAAAAAAUAAAAACACAUCCAUUGUUUGGUAGAGUUAAAAAUUGAAAUGAAAGAAAAUUGAACAUAUAAAAAAUAUAUAAUUUUGAACUAAUAUACACUUCUAUCUCGUUUUCUCUCCUCUCGUCAUUUUAUAUUGGAAGAAUUAAUUUUUUUUUGCAUUAAGAUGAAAACUAGUCAUCUCUUUUAUUUUAGUUGUUCUCACUUUUUUCCACUGUUAAAUACACUCAAAAUUUAUUUUCUUUUUACUUUUCUACUCUCUUCUUCCAUGCCUUCACUUUUCCACCUUAAGGCUAUGCUUGCUUAAGCGAAAAAGUGAAAGGUGAGAAGAAAACAAAAAAGUAAAAAGAAAAUAAAUUUUGAAUGCAUUUGGUUGAGAAGAAAAAGUGAAAGGAAAGAAAAUAGAAGUGAUGACUAUUUUCCAUCUUAAUACAUAAAAACAAAUAAUUUCAAAUUAGAAUAAUAAGAUGAGAGAAAAUGAGAGAGAAGUAUAUUAGUUCAAUUAUACAUUUUUCAAAAAAAAAUCAUUUCUUUCUUUUUAUUUUUCAACACUAUCAAACUCGCAUAUAAGAAGAAAAAAAAUAAAUUUUCUAUCUUUUUAUUUUUCAUUUCUUUUGAUUUUCUAUCUUUACAUUUUCUUCUAUUUAAAUUAUAUUGUUAAUCAAAAUUUGAAAGAAAAAAUAAACAAUUUAUUAAUAAUCCACGUAAUAAAUAAUUGAUUUUUUUAAAAAAGUGAAUCGUACAAUAAAAUUUUGAAUAAAAAAUAUUAAUGUGAUAUAAUAUUUUAUUAAUUUCAUUUUCUUCCUCAAACCAUCAAUCAAACACUUACACAUAGUUAAAGAUUAAAUUUAUGGCACAUUAUAUGGAUAAAAAAACUAUAUAACAAAUAUAUCUGUUAAAAAUUUAUAUAAAAGUUCAGAACGUGAGAGGAAACGAGGCAUUAAAGUGCUAGCAUUAUACGUUACAUGUUCACAAGUUGAAAGUUAAGACAACAAUAUAACAAAAGAUGAACGGUUCGGGGUCCUUGUCCAACAAUCGUGUUGGUAAUAAUGAUGACUUUAAUAAGGAUUGCAACACCAAAAAAGUUAGAUUUAAGGAUGGAGAAGAUGUUUCAUCAAAGAACAUGGUGGUAGACAUGGCUCCAGUAAGUGGAGUUUCAUGGAAAGAUAAGUUAUUGGGCAGGGAAAGUACUGGUUCUUUGGCCUCACCCACGAUCUCGAUUGAUUCUCUUGAUGUAGAUCUAAAUUUUGAAUAUGGGGACAUUCUUAGAUCCACCCUGAACAAAAUCCUUGCCAUCAACUUCUCAGAACGAUUCAAAAGGAUACUGGUUAAGGAUAUGGAGACUACUAUCAUCGUCAAACUUUUGGGGUGUAAUAUAGGAUAUGGCGUCCUCUAUAAUCAAAAUUCCAGUCUCUGGAAACCCUCCCAAACUUUUCAAUUAAUGGACGUGGAAAUGGCUAUUUAGUCUGGUUUCAAAAUAAAUUUGAUUACAGUAUGGCUCUAACUCAAGGUCCAUGGAUAUUGUUUGGACACUAUCUUACAGUAUAGCCCUAGACAAUGGAUUUCAUAUUGGGACCCCCGGUAUGCCCUAUGGCGUAGCGGAAAAAAAAUAUUCCAGCAAUCCAUAGCCGAGGAUCCAUGGACGAUGAAUGAAUUGAGUUGAAAUAUGGUUGAAAAUAUACCUUCUUUAUUGAAAACGUUGAGGAUGCUGCUGAUUCAAUAUUAAUUCCAAGCCACAACGAAAAUGUCCCGGCUUCUACGUAGUCCACCCCGUCAAAAACGAAUUACCACUUUCUCUUGAACUUUUUCAAAGAGAAUUAGAAAUGGUUGCUAGACCUUUUAAAUUAUUAAGUUGGUAACCUUCAUAUACUAAGGGCUUAUCUUCCUUUUAUCCUCUUUGAUAUCACAUAUUAAAAAUGCUGAAGAUGAUGCCAACUCUCAUGCCAAGCAUUCUUCUCUUCAUUUCAAUCUCAUGUUUAAAAGGUCAAUUGAAACUACAAUAAAGUUAAAUUCAAAUCUUCUUGACCCUAAUAUGCAUUCAUCCGUGACCUUUAAAGAGAAUUUAGACCCAAAUCCUACUUCAAAUUCGGGAACAGAAAGAGCAGUAAAUAGUGAAAAUUCUUUUGGUUAUUUUAAAGGGCAUGACUUUGAUAAUAACAAAAGGGAGAGGUCGUUCUGGAAGGGCUCUUAAUAAAACAUUACGUGAGCAAGAGGGAUGUUUUAAAUUAGCUGGUAACUCACGUGCCUUGCUUCUUAAAGCUAUGAAUUCUAUGGCUGAGCUCCUUAGUGUACAAGUGGAGAAUUUUACAAAUAAGGCCAAUGACCAUGAUGGUGAUGUUAAAGCAUAUGCUACUUUUUAGUGGUUGGUCCUUCUAUCCCCUUUUUAAUUUAUUUAUGAAUGUUAUUAUUUUAUCUUAGAAUUAUCAAGGUUGUGCUAGUUUAAAGUUUCUCUAGGUCUUUCGGGAAUAUAACCAAGAUCAUAAACCUGAUUUGAUUGAAAUUUUAGAAAUAAGAGUUAGUAGGAGAAAACAGAUUUGUUUAUCAUAAAGCUUGGUUUUCAAUGCUCACAUUGUGUAGAGGCUGUCAGGUUUUUGAGUGGUAUAUGGAUUGGAUAGAAGGAGUCAGUUUAUGUGGAUAUUCUUAAAAGUCAUCCUCGAUUUGUUUUAGUUAAAAUCUCUGGUAAUAAUUUCAAACAACCCUUUUUGGUUACUUUCGUAUAUGGAAGCCCUGAUAGUCGUAAAUGAAGGUAACUUUAGGGGGCCUUGCAAAGAAUUGUUCCUAUGGACAAGUCUCUAUGGAUGGCGAUUUGUGAUUUCAACGAUAUUCUUUACCUUGGAGAAAAAGAGGAGGAUGAACAUUAGGAAAAAUGUGCCCACUUUUUGGUGAUUUUAUGGAUUCAACCUAGUUACAUGAUUUAGGUUUUUGAGGUUUGCAGUUUACAUGGAAGAGAGGGGGAUUGUUGAGGGUUUGGAUAGGGUCAUUUUUAAUAAUGUUUGGAACUUUAUUUUUUCGAAUUCCAUGGUGACACAUUUGUCGCAACUUAAAUCCGACCAUAAACCAUUACAUUUGUCUCUUAUGCUCGAUUAUCACUCUUCAAGAAGGCGCCCAUUUAGAUUUUUAGCUGGUUGGGUUAAACAUCCAACCUUUUCAGAUUUCGUUAAAGAAAAUUGUGUCUCUACUAACAUGUUGACUAUUCACUUUGAUUUUACUGAGCAAGUUAAGCAAUAAAACCAUGACGUGUAUGGUCACAUUAACACUCGUAAGAAGCAAUUAACUCGAAAAUUAAAAAGCAUUGAGAUUGUGUGGGAUAGGGUAAACUCUGCCUACUUUAAUAAGGUAAAAUGGAGGUGAUAGAAGAAUUGAAAAAUGUUCUCUAUCAUAAGGAGGUGUUAUGGCGUCAAAAGGUACGUUGCGACUGGUUACUGCUAGGGGAUCAGAACACCAAUUUUUUUCAUACACGCACCUUGAGGAGAAGGAAAUAAAACAAAAUUAUCGCCUUGAGGAAUGAUUUAGGUAAGAGGAUUUUGGAUGAGGACCAGCUGAAGCUUGAAAUGGUUAACUUUUACAAGACAUUGUAUAGUGAAUAUCCUGGCCUAAUGAAAGAAUUGCCCCCUAAUGCUUUCCUGCGUCUUAAUGAGAAUAACAUUACUCUCUUAAAUAAACUAAUCUCUGAUAAGGAAAUCAAAGUUGCCCUUUUUUUUAUAUAGCUCCUUUAAAGGCUCUUAGAAGUGAUGGCUUUCAUGCCUUAUUUUAUCAGAGUCAGUGGGAACAUGUAGAUACUUCUGUUUGUAGUUGGGUCGAAGGUGUUUUUUAUGGAGAAAGUAUUAACUCGGAUUUGAAUAAUUCGCUUAUUGUGCUUAUUUCUAAAGUUUAAAAUCCGAAAGGCUUAUCUCACUUUCAUCUAAUUAGUUUAUGUUCUGUUCUUUACAAGCUUAUUGUGAAGAUCAUCACAAAUAGGUUGAAAAUGGUUUUUUCGAGACUCAUUGCUCCUAAAAAAAUUGGUUUUCUAGCAGGACGGAACAUCCCUGAUAAUAUUGUCAUUGCUCAAGAGGUUAUACACUCCAUGCGGAGUAUGCAGCAAAAUAAGAGAUGGAUGGCAAUCAAAAUUGAUUUGGGGAAAGCAUACGAUCGCGUGCGCUGGGACUUCAUUGAUGCCUCGCUUCAGGCUGUAAGUAUUCCUUUCUUUUUACGUAAUGUUAUUAUGUCUGCAAUCUCUAGUUCUACCAUGCAAGUUUUAUAGAACUAGUUCCAACUCAGAAAUUUUGACCUGCCAAAAGUGUUCUUCAAGGUUGUCCGUUAGCUCAUUAUUUGUAUAUUUUGUGUAUGGAAUGGUUAGGGCAAAGCAUCUGUGUAGCCACUAACUCCAGCAAUUGGUCCCAUAUACGUCUGCCUCGCACCAAGCCACCACUUUAACAUCUCUUUUUUGUAGAUGACUUAAUCUUACUUGGGCAUGCUGAAUAACAUCAAGCUCGUGUUAUCAAAGACAUUUUUAAUAAGUUUUAUGAAUAUUUGGGAAUCAGGUUAACAAGAGGAAAAAAAAUAUUUUCUUUUCUAAAGGCAUUGAUGGUAGUUUAGGGAGACACAUAAGCAGAUAUUUUGGUUUUCAAUAAGUGAAUAACUUGGCAUCUUAUCUUAGAGUGUCACCUUUUUAUGAGAAUGUCACUAAUAACACAUUGCGUUUCAUGGUCGAUAAGGUGCGUAGUAAACUAUCUAGCUGGAACGUCCGACAGUUGACUUUGGCUUAAUCGAUUUUGCUUUCCGUUCCAAGUUACUUCAUGCAGAAAAUGAUGAUUCCCAAAGGACUGUGUGAUGAAAUUGAGCGUAUAGUCAUAAAGUUCAUGUGAGGUCUCAUAAUGGCAGUACCAAGAUGGCUUUGAUAAGUUAUGAUUUGGUGUGCCAACCAAAAUCACAUGGAGAGCUUGGUCUAAGAUCCUUAAAAGACCAUAACACUUUGUUUAUGAUAAAGGUUGGAUUUAAUAUGAUUUCAAAUACUAAUGCCCUUUGGGUUCAAGUUCUUCGGUCGAAGUAUGGGGUUACAAAUGGUUUGCCAGAGGAUUUAUCACGAGGAUGUUGUUCUUUUAUUAUAGAGAUCCUUUUUAAGGUUUAGCCUCUCAUUUAUGAAAACUUAUUAUGGUCUAUCGGGGAAGGGAACUGUAUAAAUUACUGGCGUGACCUUCGGAUUCUAAAUUGUGGACCCUUGUUCAAUCUAAUUCCUUCUACUCCCAAUCUCAACAUGGAUUGUCCUCUUAACAAUAUGGUUACAGAGGAUGGAUCAUGAAAUCUAGAUCUUUUUAGGUGUUGGGUUUCAAAAGAGGCCAUCAAAAAAAUUAUAAAUGUUUCACUACCCCAUCCUUCAUCUAGUCUAGGAGGCUAAUUCAAUUGGCUCUUUCUCCCUCAAAAGUGCUCAUGGGAGGAUUCGAAAGAUACUUAGAAUUCAAAAUAGCCAAUUUAGGAGUUACCUUGGAAGUUUCAAGGUCUUCAAUGGAUCCACUUCUUUAUCUGUGUAACGCCUUGAAUAAUUUAUUUUUGUUUUUGUAAAUACCUGACACAAAUAUUUGUCUACUUUAGUGGUUAAGUGUUCUGAGCAUAUGUGUGUAAAGUCUUGGGUUUAAGUAUCACAUUUGUAGAUUUUGUUAUUUUUUGAUCCAAGACUUACCCUUGUUGAGCGGGCUUAUAUUAAAUUGUGUGUUAAUUCAUGUCAAAAUAAGCUUGCUGGUUCGAGUGGUAAGGGAGUUAGUGUGUUGGGGGUCCUGUGUUUGAAUCUCUGCUCAAGCAUAGAGGUUAAUUUUUGCCUCAUUUGACUGAAAGAGUUUGGAUGGGAUUAGGAGUCUGUGUGAGUGGGUGGUUGUGGAUGAGAGAAUAGUGGGGAGUUGAGAUAUAGGGAGUUAUCUAGUUUUUUUUUCAAAAAUUCAUUUUUCUCUCUCUCAGAAAAUUAUAACAUCAAAAUGCUUCUGUUUUUCCCUAUUUUGAUAUUUUCUUUCUCUUUCUUUGCAAACCUGUGCUUGUCCUUCUUGAUUCGGUUUGUCAAUCUGUUGUUCAAUCGUGCCGUUGGAAUUUUUGAGUUUUCCAUCUGAUUCAGUUAGUAGAACUAUGUUUAUUGCUAUGGUUGGUUUCGAGAUAAUACCGGUGUUUUGGCAACCACUACUUGGUGUUUAAUCGAUAAAAUCUGUGUUUAGGUGAAGGUUAUGAGGCAAAAGAUUGCUCUGCAGCAGCUUAGGGUGAGUCAAUUUUUUUUGUUUUUGGUUAAUCGUGUUAGACUAGUAAAUUAGUUGUUGAAGGAUUUGCGUACUCUGUUUUUAGGUGUUGGUGGUCUCAGGACUGGUUUUGCAUCAAAAUUGUAACAGGAAUGUUUCUAAAAAGUGAAAUAGAGCUAUUUACUAUCGAUGUCACACGAGGGUAUGGCCGACCGUGUGGGUGACUGUGUGCAAGACACGGUUGUGUGAUCAAUGAAGACAUGAUCGUGCGCAAAAAACAAUCGUGUAGUGGUGUGAGUGUGGCCGUAUGGGCCACACGGGCAUGUGGGUUUAGGCCGUGCGGGCCACACGGGCAAGGCCAAUUUGGGCGUGUGAGCCUAAAAUCUUAAAAUUUUUCUUGGGGUUGCACGGGUCGUUCCGAUCGACUAUGGGUCUACCGUAGGGCCGGUAAGGGCUAACCAAAUCCUAAAAAUAUGUGAUUUGCUGGUACAAUAUUCUGUUUUGAACAUAACACUGUUAUGCAUGUCUAAUUAACUUGAUGUAUUUAUACAUUCGAUGUCUAUAUUAGAGCAUGUGAGCAUGAUAACUCUGAUUUUGCAUGUCUGAUUGGGGUGGGAUUUAUAUAUGUGGAGGAAGUGUUUUGUAUAGCGUUCAUCGCCUAUAUUCUGGCAAAAUGGCUGCACUUUAUCUAAUAUGUGUCAUAAUGGCACGAUACGGUAUGUAGGGCUGGGUGAGUGUUUUUAACCCCACAUUGUGUGAUGGGAUGGUCAGAGUUGGUGUGUAGAGGAUGGGGGUAAGAUUCUGUUUAUUUGAUCUGCUUAUCUGUAUCUGAAAUAGACAUGAGUUUGAAUUUGUAUCUGACUGUAUAUAUAUGAAUUCUGUAUAAUUUGUAUGUCUAUUUCUGUUGGGUUAUACACUGAGUUUAUGAAAAUUCAUAUUUGUUUGUUUGUUCUAUUCAAGUAAUCCACAGACUUAGGCGGAUCGGAGCGGCAGAGACUCAGCGGUAACCACUCGAUCGAGUACUGAACAUACCUAAUAAUUUGCGAUUUUUAUUUAAAUUCCGCAUUUAAUUGAGAGUUUGUAAAUUCUGGGACUAUCUAAACUGUAUGGUUUUUUACAAUUGGUUUUGGUUUCGUUUGCUUGUUUAUUUACAUGGUUUGACAAAACGUUUUAGGAAAACGACUGUUUUACUCAAAUAAGGGUUUUUUAAAAAUACGAACUGAACUUUCAAAAUAUAAUGAGUUGUUAGACUUCCACUGUAAAUAGUGUUUUGACAAAUAAACCAAUUAAUUUACGUUUUCGACAAUGGUUAUAAACGAAUAUGAGUUAUUAAGCUGAAUUGAUUUUACGUAACGACUCCGUUUUCAAAACUCAUUCUUUAUGGCAUCUCCAGAUUCGGCCAUAGCGUCUAGGUUAGGGGUGAGCGUUCGAUCGAAUCGAAUGAAAAAUUUUAAAGUUAAUCAAGUUGACGAAUCAUAUUUUAUCAUCCUAAUUUGAUUUAAAAUUUUCUCGAAUCGAGUCGAGUGAGAUGGAAUUUGAAUCGAAUCGAAUCGAAUAUAUUUGUUCGAGUUAAAUUUUAAAAAAUAAUUUUGGGUCCUCUUAACCACUGUCACCCAUCGUAAUAAAAUUUGUCCACCGUAAUCAAAUUUUUUAUUAAUUUUCAUCACCUCAUAAUUUAUUUUUUAAUCUUUUAUAUACGGCUUAGUUCCUUUGCUUGCUUAGUUGUUUCAAUUAUCUUCAUAUUAUUGUCACUAUAUAUUUUGGAAUUAAAAUAUAUAUUAAAUGUAAAAAUGUGAUUUUUUAAUAAAAGUUAUUUUAAAGAUAAAAUGUGAAAUUGAUACCAAUAUAAAAUUUUAACACGAAUAUUUUAUGGCAUCAUUAAUAAUUCAAUUUUAAUAUAAAUAUUCAAUAUGACUAAACAAUUCAAUAAUAUAAAUAUCAUAAAAUGCGAAAUUUAAUUUAAUAAUAUAAACAGUAGAUAUAAAUAAAAUUAUUACUAUUUAUAUUUUGAGAUUUUUUUGGAUAAUUUCGAUUUUUUAUUUGAAAGUAAAGGGUGAGAAGUAAAAGUUUAGGGAAAAAUAAAAAGUUUUGGAGAGUAAAAGUUUGAGGGAAAGUAAAUAGGGGGAGUAAAAUUUUGGAGGGAAAAUAUUAAAAAAAUAGGAGGAUGGGUUUGGGGUUCAUGGACCGGGCCGGGUAGCCCGGCCUGAAGGCCCGCCCGAAAUGUGAGAGGGUUUGGGCAAAAUUAUAGACCUAAAAAAUGGGCUUGGACAAAAAAAUAAGGCCGUUUAAAAAAUGGGUUGAAUAACUCGAUUUGAACUUGAAAUUGACUUGAAUAACUCGAUUCGUUUAAAUCAAAAUUUAAUUUUUUAUUUUUUCGAGUCGAACCGAAUUUUGCUCACCCAUAGUCUAGGUCGAGUUUGGGGUGUUACAAUCUGGCUUGUCCUCAAACAACAGUUGCUUACGAAUGCUGAAAGGGUAAGGUGUGGAAUUGGGAAUAACAACGCUUGUGGUUUUAGUGGGCAUGAAUAUGAAGAGGUUUUGCAUGUUCUCAAAGAUUGUCCUGCAGUUAGGAACAUUUGGGACAAGCUCAUUCCAAAAGAAAGGCUCUUUAGAUUUUAUAGCUGAUCCCCACUUGAUUGGAUGUCUGUUAAUCUCCAAAAUCAUUAGAUUAUUUCUUUGGUAGAGGUGGAUUGAUCGUGUUUGUCUGGGAUUAUCUCUUGGCGCAUUUGGAAGAAUCGCAACUUGUUUACCUUUCAAGGUAUUUCCUAGAGUAUUAAUGAAGUCCUGAAAGUUGCCUAUAGUUGGGAAAGGCAAUAUUCUUCAAUUUUGAAGGCACCUCCUCAUAAGUUACUAUUAGAAUUGUGACAUAAAUUCUUAUUAAAAUAAAAUACAAGUGGCAAGUACGGUACAGGCUGUAUAAGAAGAAUCUGUAUAGAAGUUUACUUCUUCUGUUUGAUAUUAAUUUGAAUAAGGUGUUUCAACCUUACUAUAUUACUUCUAUUAGAUUGGAUUAGAAUAAGGUUUUCUAAACCUAUAAAUAGACGCGGUCUAUACUCUUUGUAAUCAUUCGAAUUCGACAUAGUAAAUUUUCUUCUCCUUUACUCGUAGUUUUUUUUCCCAAAAGUGUUUCCAUAUAAAAUCUGUGUGUUCUAUUUCUCUUUCUUUUCUUUGUGAUACAUUUCCGUUAUUAACAUUCUAUUUUAAUAGUUACGAAGUUCUUUCGCUAGUCCAUUUAUAGCCAACGAUUAGGUGUGUUUAAAUACGAAUGGUUCAUUUAGGAUCGAAGAGGGUUUUGCUGCAGCUGAAAGAUUAGUGUGUGAUCAUAAUGAUUGGUGGAUCAUUGGGUUUUACAGAUACUUGGGAAAUUGCGUAGUGACGAAAACUAAACUUUGGGGCAUCUUGGAUGGGUUGAAGCUUAUUUUAGAUAGGCGAUUCGAAAAAAUCUCAAUUCAAACAGACAGUCUUGAGGCUAUGAAUGCCAUCCAAGAGGGUUCUUCUAGGAACUCUAAUUCCGCGCUCGCCAGAAGAAUUCAUCAUAUCUUGAAAAUGGUUAAGCAGUGGAAAAUUCAUCAUAUUCCUCGGGAAGAAAACACAAUCGCAUACAAUCUUGUCAAUAUGGUUCGUAAUAGAAGUCUAGGAUUAAGAUUCUUUGAGGAUCCCCUUUAGGGAGCUAGUUUAAUUGUUUUGUAUUUUCUAUCUUUUCAAAAAAUAUAUAUAUAUAAAUCAAUUAAAGUUCUGGUUAUAUAUUAUGAUAAAUUUUUUUUUAUUUUUAUAUAAAAAAAAAAUAUUUUCAUAAAAGAUAUAAUUUAAUUUGUACAUGAGAAAAUAUUGUGUCGAAUUGAUUUGUAAUACCAACUUAAUAAAACGCUUAAAAUAAAUAUAUAUAAUUUUUUUCAAUAAAAGAUAGGUGUCCAAUGAUUGAACCUUGAACUAAUUUUUUUGUAGGCUUAACGAUAAAUUUGGCCACUAACAUUUACAUGUUUUGUUAAAAUGAUCCUGAUUGUAUUUUGAGUAUUUUUUGGCCAUCAACUUUUUUUUUUUUGCAAAUUACUUUUUCUAACAGAUUUGAUGAAAGUACCGUUAAAAAACUUAAAGGGGAUGAUGUGGAAUAUUUUUAAUAAGAUAUAAUUUAUUACUUAGGUAACCUAAUAAGAUAAUUACAUGAGAAAAAUAAUAAAAUAAAAAAAUCAUACAUGAAAUUUAAAAAAAUAACUCUUAAUUUAAAGAAAACAAAUAUAAUUAUUUAAAAACAAGGUUUCAAAAUAAAUAAUAUGUUUAUUUACUGAGAGGUUUCAAAAAGAUAAUUAAUAAAUCAUAUCGAAAAUAUUGAAUGUGUGCAUUCAUUUUGAAUUUUUUUUUUAGAUAAUUACGUUUAUUUUCUUUAAAUUAAGAGUUAUUUUUUAACUUCAUGGAUUAUUUUUUAUUUUAUGAUUUUUCAUAUGUAAUUAUUUUAUUGAGUUAUCUAAGUAAUGAAUUACAUCUCAUUAAAAUUAUUCAACAUUAUCCCGUUAACUUUUUUAACAAUAUUUUUAUCAAAUCAAUUAAAAAAAGUAAUUUAAAAAAAUAAAAGUUAAUGAUAAAAAAGACUAAAAAAUAUAAUUAAGGUCAUAUUAAUAAAAUAUGUAAAAGUCAGUGACUAAAUUUAUCAUUAAGUAUUUUUUAUAUCAAAACCUUUGAAAGUUUCCCUAAUACAAAUCGGUAAAAUGAUAAAUAUAUAAAAUCAACUACAAAAUAUAUAAUAUCAAGGUAAUUAAUUUAUGGUAUAGAGAAAAGAAAGUGUGUUGGAAGAUAAUUGGGGGUUAAACCCUUUUUUAAUGAUUUAGUAGAGAAAUGAUUGCAAAACCAAAAAGAAAAAAAAUGCAUAGGUAGAAGGCAUUUGUUGUAAAAUAAAUCAGUGAAGAUGACAUGUUUGAUGAUGUUAAGGGAGGGGAGCGUGCAAUAAUUCACCAACUCAAUCUCAAUCUCAAUCUCAACCGCCAAACACCCUCAUCUCUAAUGUCAUUUCAUUCUGCAGCUCAUCUAUUACUCUAGGCAAUCAAAACAUUCCACCUAUAUGUAUUACAUGAAAUUAAUGUAUUGGCCUAUUGUUUCUGUGUGUCCCUGAUUCAGCCACAUACCUUCUUUAAGACGUUUAGUGGUCCAAAAUGAUCCAUCACCUCUCUUGCUCACCAUGCAAAUUUCGAAAGGUCCUAAUUCCAGAUUAUACAUGUCUUAAUAAUAUCAUAUCUAGAGGAUAUUUACAUGAAUUAAUUAUCAUAUUCAUUUUUAUGAGAUAACUUUCCGACCCAACCCCUUUGACUUCAUCUUCUUCCCAUCCCAAAUCUAAGCAAUACUGCAGAAACAGUAAAUAUUUGCCCUCUUGAAUGGAUACCCAGUGCAUAUCCUAUUAUUAUUUAUUGAUCAUUGAGGUGUUAUGUGACAAAUCAGCAACAUUGAAUGUAUAUUCAUGGCUGACGAUUUUGUUGGAUGAGUUAAUGCUGGUUUAAAGAGCUAGUGGACUAUAUUUUGUAAAUAUAUUAGUUUUCAGCCAAUCAAAAAAUUAAUAUUUAUACAUAUUUUAAAUAAUUUAAAGAUGAUAUUAAAGUAACAAGUUAGUUGAGUCUAUUAAUCUGUUGACUUGGUUAAUUGUUUUUGUUAAGUCGAUUGAUUCAAUUACAAUUACUGUUAGCAGCAUUCAUUAACAUGUAUAUAAACUCUAAUUGUCUAUGUGCAUAAUAAGGGUUCUGAUUCUCUAAAUUAUUGCUUUUCUUGCCUUUUUUUAUUUUCAGUUGCUUUAUCAGUUUUAUAUCUUUUAGCUAUAGUUAAACACGUUCUCUGUUCCGUUUCUCUUCUUUUGAAAAUUUUGAUUUCCGUGCUUCAUAAAAUACAUUUCUUUUCUCUUUGGUGCUAAAAUUUUUAUUCAUUUUUUGUUAUAACGACCCAACAGUAAAAAGUAAUGCUAAUUUUUUAUUAUUAUAUAUUUUCAAUAUUUUUGCUUUUAGGCUCUGUUUAUAUUUUCCAACAAUGGUCUUUAAAUAUAGUCAAACUAUAUUACAUCUUUUCAAUUCCAAUGCUUAGUAUGUUCUCAAUUAUAUGAUCUAGUCUAAUUUUUAUUUUUGGUUUGCAAUAGCUACGAUGAAAUCGGAUUGUGAUAUUAAGGGAUGAGAUAAAAAUUAGCUCGACUUUCCUGCCUUAUAAAGACAAAAUGGCAGCUUUCGAGAUGUACAAAUAUCUGGCUGAACAUCAUGACGAUCACAUAUUGAGCUGUCAUCAACUUGUAUACUAUCAAGACGAAUAGUUGCUUGCAUUAGAAUGCUUAUAAAAAUGUAGUAACGUAUUUAGUGAAAAGAUGAAGUGGAAAGAUAGUUAUCCAAACUAGAGUGAGAAUAAAUGGUUCAAUUACAUUAGAGAAAAUUUCUAUAAGAUUUUCCACGAUGUUGCUCGUAUUUAGGCCUAUUAGAAAUUUGAUAAGCUCAACACACCUACUAAAGAGGACCUAGGAUCUACAACUAAUACUACAUCAACUUUUUGAAGUCGGUUAACUUUUUAUUUUCUAACUUCUUAGUGCACUAUAAUACUCAAGCAGCAAAGCCGACUAUAUAUCAUUCAGGUGGCAGAGCCGACCAUAUAUUAAAGCCAACCCAAGUGCAUUAACUACUUAAUUAGAAAUCUAAGGCUUAACCGAGACUUACAAUUACAAGAGAAGAAAACACUUUUAUUAAUACACAAUACAAUUACAUAUGAUACACACUUACCUCACUACUCUUCUCUUCUUUACCUCUACCUCUCACACUCUCUUGCUUAUAGCUCUCUCUUAUAUCAUAGCAAGAAUGAAAGCUUGCACCCCUAUUUAUAGAGUUUAGAAUCGUUGGAUUGUUGAUAGAUGUCAACAUUUUUGCCAUUGAUUUUACAAAUAUCUAAUAGCUAGAAUGUUCAUCUAGAAUAUCUAGUCUUUUAGAUAAUAUCUUAUUUCUCAUAUUCUAGAAUCAUC